rnacentral:lncRNA from 1 species
UUUCAGGCCCGAAGAAAGGGCGUGGCCUUCUUCAAAUUUUAACAAACAGAAGUUUAAGUUGAAUAACUUUGACCAAGGUUUUGUCUAAUGAUCUAUUUAUAGGAAUAUGUUCGAAUAUAAUACCGGUUGACAAAGGUCCUUUGUCAAAUAAUAAGAUAAGUGAUGGAUAAAAUUGUAAUUUUAUUAUUUUUGACGAGGCAAUAAUUCCAAUUGAUUCCCUUUUAUAAACGAUCACAAGGUUCAAGUAGGGGUGGUGGGUCGUUGACCUUAAUCUGACUUAUUUAAUUUUAUUCCCCUUUAUGAAUAUUUCUAUAGAAACUUGAAAUCUUUAAAAAAAAAAAAAAAAAAAAACUCACUUGUAUAUUGUUUAUAGAAUAAUAAUAAUUCACUUACACAAGCUCCUAAUGAUUUCCUUAAAAAAAAAAAAAGUGCUACAAUUACACAACCUAUCAUAUAAUACAUAUUGAUAAAAUACAAAAUUGGAUAUUUUUUUCUUCAUAUAAUACUAGUUAAACAUGUUUAUCAUGUUAAAAACGGGUUAUUAAGUGUGACACUAAUCAUAUACAUCUAUUAUUAUGUUUAGUGGGUCAUGUAAUAUUCGUAUUCAUAUGGUCAACUAAACUCACUAAUUUUGUGUUACUUUAGAGUUGUGUUGUUGUAUUGGUUCAAAAAUUUCCAGUGCUAGUUAGUUCACUUAAAAAAGAAUAAAAAAACAGAAAAAGAAAAAUCCAGCAGCUACAAAAUAAUGAAAAAAAGGGAAAGAGUCGUGUUGUUGUACUUGUAUUGGGUCAAGAAUUGCUUGUUCAUUUAAAAAAGAACAAAAAGAACAAAAAGAAAAACUUCAGCUGCUAAAAAGAAAAGAAAAGAAAAGAAAAUAGGAAAAAUAGAAAAAGAGAAGGCGAAGCUAACCGGACCCCAAGUCUCAUUUGUGAACCGUAUUGGAAGGAGAGUUUGGAGUCCGGAACUGUAUGAUAGUAAGCACAGCGUACUAAAAAAGCGAGCCAAAAACACAGAGGCGCACACACACGGGUGCAAGCAAGCAAGCAAACCAAUCCGAUUGUUUUCCCCUUCGUUUAAUUUUUUUGUUUUUACAAUUUUCAAGCUUCUCUCACAAGCUUUCUUCAGAAAACGACUCGUCUUCCCAACUCAGUCUCCGGCGUUUCGAAUCGGUCGCUUUUCUUUGAAUUUUCCACUUGCAAGCACUGAAUCAACUCGCUCGCCACUCGCACACUCCUAUGGUGAGCCCCAUCUUACUUAAUUUCAUAUUCAAUUUGGCUUCCAAUGUGAAAAUUUUCACCAAUUUCUAGUCUUUUGGUACUUUUUGUAUACGAAUUCUAGCUUUCAGUGUAGUUUCGUUUCGUUUACUUUGCAAUUUAGCCUGAAAUGGUACUUAUCCCUUAAAAGAAAUGUACUUUUAUGUAACUAGGCUUGGAAAUUUGCAGUGUUUGUAGCAAUAUAGUUUGGCAUAUAAAUUUUCUUCCUUUUGCGGUUUGCUUUGGGAAAUUUUAAGUUUUGAAGGGUAGCUCUGAAUAUUUGAUUUGGAAAUAAUUUUGCAUGUGUUUUUAUUUCUAGUAGAUGGGUUUAGGCGCAUUUAUAUUUUUUGGUGGAUAAAGUUUUAUUUUAUUUUAUUUUGGAAACUAUAAAAGUUAACUUUAUUUAUUUACUUUGUUUUGUUUUGUAUUUCUUUUGGGGUUUCAGUUUGUGUAUUUGAGUUGCAUGUGGUGGAUUUUCCAUGGAAACAGUGGUUGGUGUUGAGGGGAGUGAUGAAGGGAAGUGUGAGGAAAGUGGGGUUGAGAAAAGUAGCUCUUCUUUGUCUUCACCGAAGCAGAUUGCCGAUCCUGUUGUAUACAAGCUCGUUCGGGUAUGUUUUCAUUUAAACUAAAAGUUUAACUAUUCUGUUGGUGGUAGUAGUUUUUGCGCAUAAAAUUGAAAGGUGAGCUGUUUCUUUUUGUUCUUUCUUGGAGGUAUAAGUCUGGUGCUGCUCAAGAUGCAGUAACUGUAGUUCAUUUGUUAUGAGUGAUUCAACUUUUCAAUUUGGGGAAACACGAUUAGCUUAGUAAUAAACACGAUUAGCUUAGUAAUGUGUGUUAAUUGUAACUUUAGAGUCGACAAAAAGGACUGUCUACCAAGUGUUUUUAACGGUUAUUUCAUUCAUAAAUUAAAGUUAGAAGCCAGUUAAGCCAUCAAUCAAUUAAUCCAAUCAGUUAGUGCUGUUGGAAUCUGAGCCGGGAGAAUCAGAUUUAAGAAAAUCAUAAUAGAAACAUACUGAAUCUAGAACAUUGCAUUUCUUCUCAGAAGCCUUUUUUUGGGGAUUUAGAUUAUGCCCCCUUGGGCGUUGAGGUAUCUGUGAGUCUUUAACUGUAAACUUCAGGUUUAUACUUCAAUUAAAUGAUAACAUUUCUUGUUUGGCGAGGUGAGGCUCUCUAUAAUGUGUUUAAGGGGAAAAAAGGUUAAUAUCACAUUGCACUUACAAGUAUGGACAUCGUUAGAUCAAUGUUGAUAUUGUCUUUGCCAUUUGUUAUGUUAUCCUUCAAUGAUGAUUUAUCUAAUGCCAGGUUGAAGGUGAUGGGAGAUUAGUGCCAGCAACAGAUGAUGAAGUAAUGGAGGUUGAGGAAUUUCUUGUGGAUGAGAAGAUUGAAUUACCUGUUGUUACAGACGCUGGAAAUGUUGAGUGCAUUUCCAAUGAAGAGUCUUCCUCUGGGAAGUCUCAUAAAGAAAGCUCAGAAGGUCUAUUUGAGUUAUUGUUGUAACUAAUUAUUUCACUUCCAUGUUUAUCAUUAUGGUCAUUUUGAGUAUAACUUUAAGAGCAUGCAAUGGGAAUUUGGAAACUUCAGCUAGCAUUUAUGUUUCUAAUUGAGCAGAGGACAUUCUAGGUCUGAUUUUUAGAUUGAGUCAUUAGAUUGAGUCAUAGAUGGUAUCCCAAAUCUGUAUUGGAUUUAUAUUGAGAAAUCUUAUUCCAAUUUGUUUUUUCCUUAAUGGGUUUGUGGGUUGAUUUGCAUUCAUGGCUAAAGUGACCAAUUUAUUUGGUACUUUUUAGUUAUAUUCAUUUUCUGUUUUGUAUACCUUUUAUUUCCCUUACUUUAGUGAAGUGUUGAUUUGAUGAUAUAUGGCUUUUUUGAGAAACUAGAUGCCGUGGAACUUGGUUUAUUAAAUCAUUUGAACACAUUCUGUUUUAUAUUUUAUGGUGUUGGUUCUGUCAUAGUUUUCAUGUUGAGGUUUGCUGCCCAACCUAUGUGGUUGGGGGUCCCUACUAACCCGAGGGUAGGGGGCGUGUUCUGUCAUAGUUUUCAUGUCUGAUUGAGAAUCGCAUUUCCAGGUCUGUCACAUUCAGAGAACACAGAACCUGAUGCAAAAUUAAGUGCACGGCUUGAGGUAUUGACUUGCUUUCUUUCGAUAUAAUUUUUUCUUCUGUUCUAGAAUCAGAUGGAUAAAAAAAACAUUUAGAGUUGCACGUUAUAGCAUAUUUCGUUUGUACAAUCUGGUGUUUACAUCGAUUAACAAAUUUAUUCAAGUGCUUGGACAUGUUACGUCUGCCCUUGUACAACAGCUGUAUUUUCUAAAUGCUGUACAUUUUAAUCUUCUAGAAAAGAAUUUCUUGAUCUUGGGAUUUAUUUUUCUGUAUUAUGUACUAUGGCAUAUUUCUUCUUCAACUAGUUUGAUUGUUCACUUCUUUUAACUUAUUGAUAGUUUAUUUUGAUUUGUUAUUUUCUUGUGUAUGUGCAUAUGCAUAAUUUAAGCAUAUCUAGUUAUUAAUCGUCUUGGAUCCUUCUCGACCGCUAAAAUCUCUUGUAGUACAUCGAGGAGAUGUUGCAAAAGGUCAAACAGGAAGAGAAGCUCCGCUUAGCAUGUGGAUCUCCUGAUCAUUCUUCUGCUUUUAUGAAUGUAGACAGCCAGUGUACUGAUCAGCAUGAUAAAUUGCCUGCUAUUGAUAAGAAGCUGCAAUCUGAAAUUCCUUUGCAGGAAAUUGUUCCUUCUUCAGACCUGAGUUUAGAUGACAGCCAUAUUAAUGAAUCUGCGAGAAUUGGGGAGUGCUCAAAACCUCCAGAUGGACCAAUCGAAAGUGGAUCACCAGCUUCUGUCAUCUGCAAUAGUUCGAAGCCUGAUUUUUAUACAUUAAAGGGGGAGAUAUGCUUGGACAACCUAUCAAUUAGGGAACUUCAUGGAUUGUUUCGAGCAACUUUUGGGCGAGAAACUACUGUUAAGGACAAGUUGUGGCUUAAGAGGAGGAUCGCAAUGGGGUUGACUAAUUCUUGUGAUGUUUCAACCACAACUUUCACUAUUAUAGAUAACAAAUUGGUGAACAAGGGUACAGAUAAUAGCUUUCAGAAUGCAGAUGGUAUGCUCACUGAAGGGUCUGAUGGUGAAGCAAAGAAUCUUGGGUAUGAAACUUCACCAACUAGCCACAGUAGCCAGAUGGAAAAUCAUCAAAUUGUGUUGGGCAAGAGAUUGGGAAACCUUAGUGUAGAACUUGAUUGUGGAAGUGAUGAUCUUCAAAUGGAACAUAGAGGUGCCAAAAGAGUUAGAAAGCCCACUAAGAGAUAUAUUGAAGAACUUUCUGAAGUUGAAUCAAGAGAUUAUACCCCAAAAGUGAUUAGUUCAGCAAAAAAUACAGGACAAGGACAAACAUCUCCAAAAUAUUGUAUACGACCUCCUGGAAAUGCCCCUUUAAAUGAGAGAACUAUUGUCACCAGGUUGGACUCUCUCGGUGGAUCUGGUGUUCAGGUUCCUUUUGUUUCUCGAGUUCGAAGAAGCCGUCCAAGAAAAAAUAUUAUGGCUCUUAUGGUAGGUAAAACCAUUUUGUAAUGGGGCAAUGAGUCAUGUUAUUCUUUAUGUUUGGCUUUUUUUUUCCCUCAAGCAUGGGAGUUUCUUAUUUAAAAGAUCUAUGUUUUCAUUUUUCCCUUUUCUUCCAGCCGGAAGCAAAACCAGUAGUUUCAUGAUUCAUCUGUUAAAUUUAAUCAAGAAUAUAUUAUAGCACUACAGAACUUCUGAAUGACACAAUAACUGAAGUGAAUUUGGAUUUGGAUUGGUAGAAAUUCGAUUCAAGUGGAAUGGGUGUGGCAGCUAAACUGGUACAAGAGGCCCUUAGUGUGCAUAGUUCUCCACCAGAGAGUGAGCAUGCAGAUAAAGACUCGAAAGUGAGAUCUGCUUCUGAACAGAUUCAACCACAGGUAAGAUAAAUUUUGCUCAAUUGGAUUCAAUUUUUCAUACUUGGCAAUUGACAUUGGGUUAUGGGCAUAUUUGGCUGAAUUUAGUAAUGUGACAUAAUGCCUAUGUAGCUGAUGAUAGUCUCUGCCUUGUUUCUUUGUAAUUUUUCUCCUUAAAUUAGUUGUAGACUGGUAUUUUGUCUUCUUAAGGACUAAAGUUUAUGAUGAAAACAGUGUUUAUUUCGGUUGUUUUGCUUCUCUGCAUUUAUAUUUGUUAGAUUAAUAGGCUAGACUGCAGUUAACCAUCUCUUGUGUUUAAGAAGGCAAAAUAUGGCAUUAAUGUUCAGUUUAAGUAUCCAUGGAUGGUUAUACAAACCAAUUCAGUCAUGCAAAAUGCCUUAAGAUUAGUCUUCCAUGAGUAAGGAAUCACCUUAUUUUUCUAUAUGUUUGGAUCAGUUAAGACAUUUUUUGGCGGGGGAUUUGAACUUGGGUCCUCUUUAGACGAGAGAUGUGGCUAUCAAAAGGCUGUGCCCUGGCUAUCAAUACUAGAGAACCAUUGAGCAUAAAUGACUGCUUUGUUGAUACCAUGGUUUGCGUUUGUUCUCAGUGCUAUAUGUCAUAUCUGUAAAUUGAUUGGAUACUAAUUUUUUUGUCAUGGUAAUUUAUUUCCUAUUUAGUUUGCUGCUGAACCAGAGAAAGACAAGCGUCGCUCGGUAAUGAGCACAAUUGAACUGGGGAAGAACUUGGGCUUGAAACAGACAGAUUCAUCCGAGGACAAUUCAGAUGAUGGUAUUGCAACAGUUCCCACAGCAAAAGGUGGAAUGAGAAGGAAACACCAUCGAGCUUGGACUCUUGUUGAGGUUAUAAAAUUAGUUGAGGGUGUCUCUAAGUGUGGCACUGGGAGGUGGUCUGAAAUCAAAAGGCUUUCUUUUGCAUCAUAUUCUUAUCGCACUUCUGUUGAUCUCAAGGUAUAUUUUGCUUCACAUUUUGUACUGUCAAAAUACCACGUUCAUGUAGCAUCCAAAUAUGCUGAAAAAAAAAAGGUACUGCAAUGCUUUAGACUGAGAAAACACAUUGUUUUGUAGGACAAAUGGAGGAACCUGUUGAAAGCUAGCUUUGCCCAAACACCUCCUGAUGAUGGAGUGAGUAUAAAUGACAUUUCCCUUCCCUCUCUCUUAUGAUUUAGUGAGAUGGGAAGUGUUCAACUUUUUGUGGGUUUGAAUGCAAGCUUGCUUUGAACUCUUUUGGUCAGCCUUUCACUACUAAUUCUGGAUUCAAAUAUAUCUCCCAGAAGUGUCAAUAUUCUGCAAAUAAAAUUUCCCAACUUUGAUCAUAUCUUUAUAAUUUUCUACAAUUUUGACUGGCAGUAAAUUCUGCCCUUAUAUUGAAUUUGUCUUUGCCUAGUGCAAUUUCUGCUACCCUAUAUCAUUGAUGUUUUUUUAUAUAUAAUGUCUUGUUAAUUUCUGGGUUAACUUGGUUUCUCUGUUGGCAAUUAUGCAGAUAAACUCUCGGAAACAUGCUUCAGUGCCCAUCCCAGCAGCAAUUUUGUUAAAAGUGAGAGAGCUUGCUGAGAUGCACGCUCAGGUACCGCCAAAUCUAGGGCCGGGCAAGCUGCCCAGCGUUAGUCGAAGCGUGCAUCAAACGAGAUCAGGCUACUUGUAACAUUGUAUAUAAAAAAAAUGUUAGUUGUGCGAAUCCCAAAUAAAGGUACUGACCUGUAACGAGUUUGAUCUGCUCACACCAUUCACUUGUUAACAUAGUUGAUGAUGUGCUGCAGAUGGAUAUUGCGGGAUGUAGGCUUUAACAAGUGUUUCAUACAUUUUCUCUUGACUCUGACAUUUUCUUCUCAACUUAUCAUCAUUGUAGGUUUUAUGGCCAUAUUAAAUUAUAAUGCAAUGAAAGGUCUUAGAAUCAAGUCUCAAGAUGACCGAAAAAAACAUGACCCUUGUGCUGAUUGCGAUUCCGUUGCAACACUUUUUCUUUUCUGAAUGUUUUGGAUUUUCUAAGAUUUAACCUGAUGUGAACGUACAGAUGGUUAUUUUUCAUAUUUAUAUUUGAUAAUAGUCGUGGUUGGUGAAGGGAAGGGGAUGCUCUAGAAAUGAAACAUAAUUUCACUGGAAGCGUCGUGUAACAUGGAUGUGGGGAUGUAUAAUGAAAUAUUACAGAGGCCUUGUUGUAAUUAGAUGUGCUCUUUUGUUUUUCGGCUUAGGGGUUGAAUUCUGUACAUUUGAUAUUUGUAAAUUUGUCACAAUUUUAACCCAACAAGAAGGGCAUUUUAGUAAUCAAACUAGAGUUGAUUUAUAAGAAUUUACUAAACAAUUUAAAGCAUCAAUAUCAUUUCUUCACUUAUUCCAAUUUGAUUUCAGAUAGUUUAGUAAACAAUUGCAAUGGGAAUUCGGAUUGUGGCUACUUCUCAUCAAUUCAAUUCCUCUUAAUUGGAUUAGACUCUUCAAUCCAACUCCUCAUCAAUUCAAUUCCUCUUAAUCGAAUUAGUAAACAUGUCGUAGAUUAGAUUAAUUUAGAAUAAUUUAUCAGUUGUAUUAAAUAAAAAAAACUCCUAGUUAACCAAGAAAAAAAAAUUUGGUAUCCAACAAAAGAGGCCCAAGAUGCAUAUCACAAAUCCACGAUACCUUUCAAAGAAAGAACUGUCGAGCUGUUUGGAAAGUAGGCCCUUAAGUUUAAGCCCAGACUUCCUCUCUUCUUCUUCUCAGCCCUAACUCUAUCAUCUUCUCUCUCUCUCUCUCUCUCUCUCUCUCUCUCUACCAGCUCCAGAGACAUCGUCGCCAACUGAGUCACGGUGAGUCAUCCACCGAAGCAAUUCACCAUUCUACUUCAUCCAAUUCGUAGAAUUAGCAUUACUUCAAUCAAGAAUUCAACCUUCCUUACAAUAAUUCAACUUUCCCUCUCUCCACUGUAAUUCACUCUUCUUUUGGUUUCCGAGGCAUCGCAGUUCAAUCAACGAUUUCUCAGCAACGAAAAAGAGCUUUCAUUAUCUUUCAAAAUAGUAAUUAGCUUCUUUUUCUCUGCAAUUUAUUUUUCUUCUUGUUGCUUUUUAGUGGUAGCAGCUGAAAAAAUCCAGCAACAAUGGGGAUCAUAGAAAGGAUCAAAGAAAUUGAGGCCGAAAUGGCGCGGACUCAGAAAAACAAAGCCACAGGUUCUUUCCCUGUUUAAAACUUGUAUUUUUAUUUUUGUGGUUGAAUCUGUUAAGGUCUUUUAAGAAUUUGGUUAUAUCUUAAUUUUUUAUUGCAAUGCUGAAAAAUGCAGAGUAUCAUCUUGGCCAGCUCAAGGCAAAGAUUGCCAAGCUAAGGACUCAGCUCCUGGAGCCUCCAAAGGUAUGCAACUCAUCCGUCUGCAUACAUAUACAUACAUAUACAUAUGAAUGUAAUUUGAUGCGAAUGUAGAAUUUUCCUGUGUUAGUAGUGUUAGGAGUUUUUAUGGUCAUGAGCUUCUUGUUAGAUGCUUACGUUAAUUCAAUUGGUGUAAAGCAACUUCUUCAUUUGUUUAAGGUUUACUUCUUCCAUUUUUAUGAUCUAUAACCGCAAUUCAGGGGUCUAGUGGAGGUGGAGAUGGUUUUGAAGUUACAAAAUUUGGCCACGGACGUGUUGCGCUCAUUGGGUUUCCAAGGUUUGCCAUAUUUAUAUGACUUCAAACUGUAUUGUGAAAUGUUGUAACUUCAAAAACAGUAAGAAAUGACCGAUCCUUACGACUGUUUCCUGUUGUUUGUAGUGUGGGGAAGUCAACACUUUUGACAAUGUUGACGGGCACACACUCCGAAGCUGCAUCUUAUGAGUUCACAACACUUACCUGCAUUCCUGGAAUUAUCCAUUACAAUGAUACAAAAAUUCAGCUGCUUGAUCUUCCUGGAAUUAUUGAAGGUGCUUCUGAAGGCAAAGGUCGUGGGAGGCAGGUGAAAUCCUUAAGCUUCUUCUCAUGUGAUAUGAUAACAUGCCAUCAUUCUUUUAUCUUACCAAUAAAAUAUUAUAAGAAAUUUAGAAAAUGAUACUUAAUAAAUGCCUCAUUAUAGAGAAGAGAUAACUUGUAAAUUGUCCCUUGGCAAAUCAAUGUAUAAAGCUCAGUAUUUCCAGGUAUCAUGGAAAUGACUAGAAUUUGACAAGACUGUCUCUUGCAGGUUAUUGCUGUUGCCAAGUCUUCAGAUAUUGUGUUGAUGGUCCUUGAUGCCUCAAAAGUAAGUGCCUAUUCUGUAGUAACAUGCAUUUGUAACUAUUUUGCUAUUUUAGUAGCUGAUAAAUAAGUUUACCACUUGUCUGCUUACAGACCUUCAUUAUUUUCAUUGUUGGCAACCUGUUCGACCUUUUGGUUCCUGACCUGUUGAUUUGAUACUUUAUGUUGGCUUCCCUUAUUUUGUGUAUGGUUUCUGUCAAUUACUUUAGUCUAACCCUCACAUUGUUUUAUAUAUUGUUUUUUUUAUAAAUAUUUCAGAGUGAGGGUCAUCGGCAAAUAUUGACAAAGGAGCUGGAAGCUGUUGGUUUACGUUUAAACAAGAGACCGCCUCAAGUAAGUUUUAUCUUCAAAAUAUUGACUUUAUAAUUUCCAGAACUGACUGAUUUGGGUCUUAGUUUCCGGCAAUUGUUUAGCUGUUUCCCUAUGUUAUUUUUUAUGUUUGCUUUGCUAGGCUUCUAGGGGCUUUAGCUGAAUUAUUUAUUUUGUUUCCUGUGCAGAUAUACUUCAAAAAGAAAAAGACCGGGGGAAUUUCUUUCAACAGCACUCUUACUUUGACUCAUGUGGACGAGAAGCUUUGUUAUCAAAUUCUACACGAAUACAAAAUUCACAAUGCUGAGGUACUUUACUUUGGAUUAAUCAAGAUUGUCCUUUGUCACAGCUAAUGGUGAUUCUUUUAUUGGGCACACUAGUGGUACCCAAUUUUCUUUAAGUCCAUGAUGUACACUCUUGGAUAUGGUUGAUACUUUCUUUGCCUUAGCCAUCCCACGGGAAAGAAUGCUCAUGUAUGAUAAAUGUUAUGCAGUUGCUCUUUCGUGAGGAUGCCACAGUGGAUGAUCUUAUUGAUGUCAUUGAGGGAAACCGGAAAUACAUGAAGUGUGUAUAUGUUUACAACAAAAUAGAUGUUAUUGGUAUUGACGAUGUGGACAAAUUAGCCCGCCAACCUAAUUCUGUUGUCAUUAGCUGCAAUCUCAAGGUAAGUUCUACACUUUUUAUUUUAACUAAAUUUGAAUGAGAUACAGAGGCAUGCAACCGUGCUAUGAAUAAAAAACCUUGAGCAAUCUGUUUUGCACAACUUUUGGUCAGAACUCAAAAGGCAUUGUCUACUAUGGUUCUUUCCAUGAAAUAUAUGUUUUUUUGUUGGAUCCUAAUGGGCAACACGUGUAAAAAUUAAUUACCAUUUAUCAACAAGUUAGCGAUGAAAUGAAUUUCCCAUACGAAAUGGUUUCAGGAACAUUAACUUUGAUUCUUCAUGUUGCUCAACAGCUGAACUUUGACAGACUGCUUGCAAAGAUGUGGGAGGAGAUGGGACUUGUUAGAGUUUAUACAAAGCCACAGGGCCAGCAACCUGAUUUCGGUGACCCUGUAGUUCUUUCUGCUGUAAGUUGCAAAUCUUUUUUUUUUUUUUUUUUUUUUUUUCUGUUACUUCCUUAUGAUCAGUUAUUACUCCAUUCUUAUGAGCCUUUGUUCAUUUUCACUUAUUCUCUUUGCAUGUAUGUGUAGGAUAGAGGGGGUUGCUCCGUUGGAGACUUUUGUAACCACAUACACAGGAGUUUGAUGAAGGAAGUAAAAUAUGUGCUAGUGUGGGGUACAAGUGCAAGGCACUACCCACAGCAUUGUGGCCUCGGUCAUGUUUUGAAUGAUGAAGACGUGGUUCAGAUUGUAAAGAAAAAGGUAAACCUGUCUUUAUGUUGUUCAUUAGAAGUAAACCUGUCAUUCUGCUGUAUCAAUAUACUUUCACCAGGGUUGUACAAUUUCUCUCCUAUUUUCUUUUAGAUAUACCCAUUGAUUUUCUGAAUAGAGGAAAAGAGUUCUGGGGUCUUCCGAUUAUUUUAACUCCAGAUGCUUGUUAGAUUUCAGUGUUUUUUUAAUGUUCUCCUUGCAACAAGAUGGGGAAAGAAAUGUGUUUUCCAUGAAAACCUAAUUUUUUUUGGGGAUUUGCAUUCUCCAGGAUAAGGAAGGGGAAGGGAGGGGUCGGUUCAAGUCACAUUCAACAGCCCCCGCUCGUAUAUCUGACAGAGAGAAGAAGGCUCCUCUGAAGCAGUAAUAUCAUUCACGGAGACCUGAGUUUCUUACAUGAACUGGCACAGAAGAAUGAUCUGUGAAUGAGUACAUCCAGAGUCGAGAUGCCUAUGAAGUAUGACAUAAUCAUAUCAUUUGCUCCAUUGAAAAAUUAGUCUAAAAUGAAGAAUUGGUGUUAGAAUGUCAUGCUUAUCAGAAAAGGUAGAUUUUUUUGGUCCAUGUGUUGUAUCUUUAGGGUUUAAUUUAUAACUUCUUGGAAUUUUGAAGAUAUACUGUACCAUGAUCUGUGUUUCUGGAGAUGAUGAUUAAUAUAUUUCUAAAAGGCUCUCUUCAGCUUUAUCUUGCUGUCGUGCAAAGGAAAAGUUCAGAGCCCAUCUAGCUUUAUAAAUGUAUUUCGAGGUAAAAGUUGGGUGCAGAUUUUUGUAGAAAGAGAAAUAUUACCCAUGAGAACAUUAAGAAUUUAUUAUUUAUCUCAACUUUUCAAUCCAGCUACAUCCAGGAGAUUUUAUCAUUCCUUUUUCACUCAUCAUCUUUCUCACCCUCUCAGCAUCAUCCCAUUUAUUUAUUUCUGCGUAAGUAUUUGCUAAAAGCACAUAAUUUCCGGCAUCAUGCGGCUCUAUUUUGAAGAGAUGCAUUGCUGCGAUCUCACUCAAUUUGGUAUUACCAUGAACCUUGCAAGCGCCUAACAAAGAGCCCCAGACCUUUGCAUCAGCAGCACCAAUGUUGUAUAUUAUAAGAUUGUACGCCUUUUCAAGCUGCCCAGCCCUUCCAAGUAGGUCAACCAUGCAAGCAUAGUGCUCCUUACGUGGCUCGAUCCCGAAGACCCGAGUCAUGAGCUCAAAAUAUUGGCACCCUUCCUCAAUCAGUCCUACAUGGCUACAUGCAUUGAGGAGACCGACGAAUGUUACCUGGUUCGGUCUUAUUCCUUCUUUUUGCAUCUCUGAGAACAGAUUCAUGGCAUCCUCGGCCCUUCCAUGGUCGGCAAGAGCGGCCAUCAAUGCGCUAUAAGAUAUUACAUCUCUGAUACUCAUUCUGUUAAAUUCUCUCCAUGCCUGUUCUAUGUCCCCACAUUUGGAAUGCAUAUGGAUCAAUGCAUUGGAUACAAAGAGUGUCCUCUCUGAAAGUGUUUGAUAAAUGAGGAAACAUCAGCAAUACAAAAGGGAAGAAGAACAUGACAUCGAUAGAAAAGAAAGCAUGCCAUUAUUUAUAUAAUUGAUUCAAUCAAAACUCACCACAACAUCCUUCCUCCACGUGCUUUGCUAAUGUGGCUGCAACUUCAUUAUCCCCAAGUUGUGUACAAGCUGAAAUAGCUCCAACCAUUACCACCUCAUUGACUGUCACUUUUUCUUCCCUCAUUUUCUUAUACAUCUCAAUGGCUUCCUUUGCAUAGCCAUUCUGAGCAUAACAAGCCACCAUUGCUGCCCAACAUGAUGCAUCUGCCAUCUGUAUCUCUUCGAAAACUAUCUUGGCUUCCAAAACAUUGCCACACUUCCCAUAACCUGAUAUCAUAGCCACCCAUGCCACUGAAUCUUUCUCCACCAUUCUUUCAUAUAAUUCCUUUGCCGUUUCCAUAUCACCAUUGUUUGCGUACCCAGCAACCAUUGUAGUCCAAGAAACUGCAUUGGGCUGCUCCAUGUUAUCAAACAACCACCGCGCCUCGCCCAUCAAUCCCAUCUUUGAAUACCCACAAACCAUGGCCGUCCAAGCAACCAAGUCUUUAUCAUCCAUCCUAUCAAAGAUGUCCCUUGCAUCCAGUACAAGCCCACAUUUUGCAUACAUAUGAAGAAGUGCAGUUUGCACUAUCUUGUUUCCCAAGAAACCAUACUGCACAACCCUUGCGUGGACUUGUCUCCCUUCAAAAAGUGCAGGAACACGAGCACAUGCAUUGAGAACUGAAGAGAAGGUGAACCCAGAUGGCGAUACGCCAACCCGGUGCAUUUUAGCAUAUAAACUGAUGGAUUGACCAAAAUGAUCAUGAAGCACAUGGGAAUGUAUGAGGGAGGUCCAAAGAAACUGGUUCCUACACUUGGGUAUUCGGUCGAACAGGUAAUGGGCAUAACGAAGGUUGUCGCCAGGGAGUUGUAGGAGCCGCUUGAGCAACUGAACCAAGAUAUGGUAGCGGUGGUUGGGUUUAGUUGGGGAUUUGAGUAGGAGAGUGUGGAUUUGUUUAAGUUGGUUUAGGGUAUUGCUAACGUACAGGUAGUGGGUGAGAAGAUUAUAAAAGGGUUGGUUUGUACCAAGUAGGGAGACCUUGAAGGAGGGAAUGAACUUGUUAGUCAUGAAUUUUCACUCAUGUCCUUCUAUCAUAGGAGUUUGUGAGAAUUAAGACACUGGAUUUUUUUGCUCUAGCUUAUUUAGUCUGGACGUUUAUUUACAAAGGUUAUGAAUCGAUGAAUUCAGGAAUAUGAGAUCAAAUGAAUGGCUAUGGGUCAACUACCGAGUAUAGCCGGGCGGCUAUACUUUUUUUAAUAAUAAAAACUGUAGUAUGGCCAACCGGCUAUACUCUUUAUAAGAAAAAAAAAAAAAAAAAACACCCGCCUGCGUAUCACGUCUGCCACGUGUCAAAACUCGUAUAGCCGUGCGGCUAUAAUAGCUUUUAAAUAAAAAUCGUCGUAUAGCUGGCCGGCUAGGGUAGAGCCGCGCGGCUAUACUAUUUAUUGAAAAAAAAAAGAGCCGCCUAGCACCUAGCACCGCUUCGCCACGUGUCAAAACAGUAUCACUGGUUGGCUAUACCCUUUUUAUUUAGAAAAAAACCCGGUAGCCGGCCGGCUAUACUAUUUAUGGAAAAAAAAAAAGAGCCGCCUAGCACCUAGCGCUGCUUCACCACCUGUCAAAAUAGUAUCGCUGGUUGGCUAUACCCUUUUUAUUUAGAAAAAAACCCCAAGUAUAGCUGCGCGGCUAUACUAUUUAUAAUUUUAAAAAAACCACCCGCCUGGGUUAUAGCACCCGCUACGUGUCAAAAUAGUAUAGACGUCCGGCUAUACCCUCACAUAGAAAAUUUUCGUAGUAUAGCCAUCCGGCUAUACUAUUUAUUUUUUUAAAAAAAGUGAACCCGCCUGACGGCUAGCGCCCGCUUCACCACGUGUCGAAAAAGGUAGUAUAGCCGCCUGGCUAUAGUCUUUUUAUAAAAACACCGAGUAUAGCCGACCGGCUGUACUAUUUAUAAAAAAAAAACAUUUGACAUUUUAUAAUACUAGAUUUCCAGUUUAGCUCACAUGUAUGUAUAUAUGGACCUCUGUUCCAACUUGACAGUUCCCAUAAUAUCCCAUAAUAUAACAUGUGGGGAACAUAUUUUAAACAUAUGUUUCUAACUCAAAUGGUAGAUGCCACCAAACAAUUUACUACACAAAACAGAGUUAUUCUUGGGUUUUGCAGUUCUUGUGGCGAAGCUAAUGUUAUGAUGAGUUUCCAUUCUUCAAGGAUUUAAUUCAUGUGCAUCGAUAAACUUGUAGAUGUCUUCUCGCUUUUGAUCAUCAAGUGGGAGACUCUUUCUGCAUAAUUCCAUAGAACAUCUAUCAGAAAAGAUGAACACAACAUAAUACAUUAACUACAAAUUUCAAUUCACCUUUGGAGCUGAAUAUUAGAGUAAUCAAUCUGUGCAAUGACAGUAGUUUCCUCAUGCCCUGAGGUAACAAUUAUCUCUCCAGACUGCCAAUUCACAAAAAAAAAGAAAGGAACAAUAGCUAAAGCUUUUGUUCAUGCAUAUAGGAAACAAUUGACAACUUUUAGAAUUUAUAGUACCGGUCCAACUAGUGUGGAAUGGCCCCAAGUUGUAUAAGAACCAGUGGAGUUUCGGGAGGGUGAGCAAGUUGCCACAAAUAACUAAAAACAUGGAUGGUCAUGUUAGAAGAACUUUUAGGCUGUCAGAACAAUAGAAAAUUUAUGGUGACAGAGUCGGUCUUUAAGCACCUGGUUAUCGACGGCCCUGAAGAAAGGGAAGGAUUUGUAAUUAGUGCAGAGGAAGUAUUGUAGUUGUACGAAAUAAGCUCAGAAUAUGUGGAAUGUUGGCAGCAAGGACAGAAGGGAAGAGUGAGUUUUCCUUAUGUUAAGAACAAGAAAAACACAAUCAACUUCUAACUGUCUAAACUACUCUAAUCUAUGGGGAAGGGGAUUGAACUGGGUGCAAGGAGACGGGCACACUGCCCUAGCCAACUGGACUAACCCACAUUUGCAACUUCGAAGUGUUUAGUUGUCCAGAAAGCAUUGACAAGCAAAGAUGCUAGAAGUAUGAAAGUGAUAAAGUCUGGCCUGAAUUAAGUCAAGCAUUAUGGAAUGGCAGUAAUAAUUUGUUUCUAUCAAUAUCUAUGCAAUGUCUUUGCGUUUGUGAAAUGCAACUGGAUCAUGUGCAUCGUGUCAUAUAAGGCUGAGAAAACCUUGAGGAAAAAGAAUCAAUCUUUUGGGGUUCAUACACAGAAUCCUGUCUACAACUACAAGGCAUAUAAUCAAUCUUACCUAGCUCUCUGUACCAGCUCCCACAACAAUUCACCAGUGCUCACGUUGAAUGCCCCAGGAUAGCAUAUGAUGUCAACCCCUUGCAUUUACCACAACCAAUUUGAAAUUUGAAAUAUGGAUUUAAGAUGCUAAAAACCAGAAUUUAACCAAACCCAGUACCUCUUUUCCUGUAUAAUGCAGCAAGUUCAGGAAAUCGUAUAUCAUGACAAAUUCCUAUUCCGAUUCGACCAACUUCUGCAUAUGUGCAAAUUGCUAAUCAGUUGCUUAACUCAGAGACAUAGGAGAUGUGAAAGUUUAACAUCUUAUGUUCCCCCAAAAAAAAUUUAGGACAACUUCAGAUGCUUACCUGUGUCCACAAUGGUAGGUUGAUCCCCUGCAGUGAAGGUGUCAGAUUCCUUGAAUGAAAUCUCUCCUGGAAUGUCAAUGUCAAACAGAUGUAUCUGCAAAGCAACACCAUCAUCAACCUUUCAAAAGUUUUAUCUUACUUUAUCCUCCUAAUUUGCAGCCAAACAAUAUCGAAUUCGAAGUGCUUACUUUCCUGUGCUUAGCUUUCAGCCUUCCAUCUGGUCCAAAUAUGCAGCAAGUAUUGUACAACCGACCAUGAUCCCAUUCAGGCAAAGAUCCUCCUAUGAUUGUGAUCCCAUGGCAACAAGCAGCUUCAGAUAACAUGGACAAUGUUGGCGAGGCAUCUCUAUUGUCAAAAUCCUCAGCAUAUUUUGCAAAAUAAUCACUUGAAUAAGGACAGUUCCACAUUUCCUUUUACAAAAAGUGCAAACCAAACCAACAUGAAUUUAAGGGUCCCGAGGAACUUCUAACAAACAUUUAUUCAAACAACUUGGCUACAACCACAUGGGUAGCUAACUCACUGGUAAAACAAGCAGCUUUGCGCCUUGCUCGACAGAAAGUCUUAUCGAACGAGAGGCACGAUCAAGAUUCUGGUUCUUGUCUGAAGUAAUUGACAACUGACAGAGAGCAAUCUUAAACUGUCCCAUAACAAAAACAGCUCUAAUUAACAUACAUUUGCAUGUAUUUCCUACUAUGAAACUAGCAAAGAGCAAUUUUUAUGAUCAAGAACACAUUUAAUAUGGGAAACAUUUAGCUAUAGUUCAAAUGUUGGACAUGAAAGGUUUCCAACUUAGCUAUAGCUCAAUAUAACUAGUACUGAAAUCAAACCUUGGUAAUAUUGGGGAGUUGAAAUGGAUUUGGGGCAUCAGCCAUGGUGAGAUUCCUGGUGUUCCAAAGAGCUGCCAUCACAAACCAAAGUAGUUUAGUGAAAUCAAACCAAAAGGAAACCCCUUUUUUUUUAUUUGACUUGUUAAUUGACAACCUCUUUACAAUUUUGUGCAGGCAAUUUUUCUAACUUAUCUCAUGAUUUUGAAUUAUUAAACAUAUGCAAGACCCCAGUUUUGUUUCUUUAUGUAAAAGACAAAAUGUUGGGACAAGAUAGAGUGUUGGAAAAUUUGGUUGACGGAUGCUACUUUUUCUGCAAAAUAUCAUAGAAAAUAUAUAUUAGAAAAUUAUAAUUUACACUGAUAUAGUAGAUUAAAUAAAAUUAAUGAAAUUAUAUCAAGAUACUUAUCUUUUUGGAUGUAGAAGAUCAUCUUCCCUGAUAUUUGAGUAGAAAAAUAGUUUUAGGUUGAGGCGUGUCAUUCACUGUCCUUAAGAGUAAAUUUCGCCCUUCGGAGACAAUGUCUCUGUGUAGCAAGGUUGUAUGGUGCCCUACCCUCCAGGAUACAACAACCUUUGAUCAUCAUAAGCGUACACUCACAAUACUUGGGUCGGAUGAACAACUCGAAUCUUUUCCUUGAUAAAAGAAAACAAAUUGGAACACAAACUCAAGAAUGUGGAGGAAAGGUGCCAAUCUAAUUUCUCUUUUUCAAAAGUAUAGCUUGAAAGGUUUAUAUCUGUCUAUAUAUGUAUAAAGCAAAAAGAAGAGAAUGGUGAAACAUUCAAAAUACCAGAAAAUGCUGUUAAUGCAAACACUAAGAAUUGAAAUUAUUAAUUAAAUGAGGAUAAUAUGGUAAAUUCAUACUUUUUCAUAUUUAAAAAAAAAAUCAGAUAAUGGAUCCUAUUUUUAUGGAACAUAACUAUCCAUUGUCUUUUUUAAUUUUAAAAUAAAUUUAAAAUUUUUUAUAAAAAAAAAUGCCUCUCGCAGAAGUAGAAGCAGAAAGGCUAAUAUAUAUUAAACAAAUAAUUAAGCUGCAUAAAAUGCUCCCAUAGUUAAAAGCAUAAAUUGUCAAUGUUAAUAUUGUUUAAAUCCAAAUAUAAAUAUAUCAAAUUAAUACACAAUCAAAUCAUAGCCAGUUACAUUUGGCCUACAUGUUUUCUCCAAUUCAAGACAUUAAAACCCAAAACAAAACUGCCAAAAGAGAUUAAUAUUAAUAUCAAUAGAAAACGUCCAACUAUACCAAAAGAAAAGAAGUUUGAAAUCUCAACUUUAAAAGAAUUAAAACCACCAUUUAACACAUAUUUAAAAUUUCAAUUCAAUAAAUAUAAUAAUAAUAGCAAAUAUAAAUUUAAUAAUAAUUUUGUAUUUUGAAAUACGCACAAAAAUUCCAACAUAGAGUCUAACAAUCAUGUAGGCCAGCACACCAAGCACUAAGCAGCAUAUACUGUACUUUAAUUGGCCCUUUAUUUUUUAUGCUUUAUACAUUGUGACCAAAAAACAAAUAUCAUACAUUUACUAACCCAAAAUCAAAAUAAACCACUUGUAGCAAAUCUUGAUUGGAUCGAUGUUGAUUCCUAUAUGAUGGGACCAUCCGAUCAAAUUGAGGAGGACAACAAAUCCAUGGUAGCAUAUGCGUAUGGUGUCAAUGUCUGGAUAUUAUUAUUCACUAGCCGAAUUCUUUGAAACUAACAUAUUUGCAAGUAUUGAAUGACAUAACAUGCGAGAUAUUUAAAAUUGAUAUUAUACAUAGAACUUCAGUUGAGGAAUUUCUUAAAUAAGCUUAUUUAAGGGACAUUUUUAUAGAGCCCACCACACAAUGUAUUUCAAUGAUUCGAACUGUCUAGUUUUUAGAUAUUACCUCAAAGAUUAUCUCUGCAAAAAAUCACCUGAAUCUGAAACCAUUUGACUACUCAAUUAGAUAGUUAUUGUCUAAAUCAAAGAGAUUUAUUUCUUAAGUUAAUUAAGUAAUUUACUUCCUUGUUUUAUAUUGUUGACACAUCCUUGUAUAAAUAUUUUGAGCCCUGUCACGUUCACACCCCCUUGUAAGUCAGCAUCGACAAGAAACCAAUCAAGUUCUCAUAUCAUUACUAUGUCUUUGUGCAAAUCGGAUCAAUGGCCAAUAUUAAUUCAAUAUCCUAAUCCACUUUUGGAUUAAUUAGUUAUUAUAAAUAUAUAUAUUUAUAUCGCCUAAGCACCCCUCCCUCUGCCCCCUAAGAAUUAUAACAUUACUGGUCAGCUAAACCUAAAAACCCCAUGCGGCUAUCACUCUCAUCAGGCAUUGUGGUAAUUGGUCUGCUGACCAUUUCAGUUCUAGUGUUGAUUCUUUCUAUAGUUGGAUGGUACGUAUAUCGUAACCGUAUACUAUCGUAUACUCCAACAGGCAACGAACCGGUGAAGAAGAUAGAAGGAACCGUCGACAGGAGGUUGAAACCGGAUUUAAUCACACUCAAUUAUAAGAGUGAUGAUCAAACUGAUCAUGAAGAAGAAGGUUCAAAUUGUGAUGAAACUCGGGGUGUUCAAUGUGGGGUGUGCUUGAGAGGUUUAGAAAAUGAGCAACUCGUGAGGCAGCUGCCAAAAUGCAAGCACACCUUCCACGCACCUUGUAUUGACACUUGGCUUCACUCUCAUUAUGGCUGCCCCCUCUGCCGUACUCUCAUUGACCGCCUGCCUUCCGAUGAUGGCGUGGCAUUGGCUACACCUCCUGAUCAAGAGAAGAAUUCCCAGGAGGUGGCACCAGUAGACAAUAUCAGAAUUUCAAUGUUAUCUACCUCAAUCAUCUAGAGAUUAUAUGGCCCUCUGCUUUUUUUUUUUCUUUUUUUUUUUUUGUUGGAAAAGUUCAUAAUGAAAUGAAAGCUUCAUUCCUAAGUUUCUGCAUUAACAAGGAAGAUGUUAAUGAGUCUUUCUCCAGUAAGGAUGUCCUUGUUAUUAUUAUUUUUUGAAGGCUUAUUUAUUUACAACAUGACCCAAUCAUCAAGUGAUGAAUAAUGUACAGCCCAGAUUCUCUACUUAUAUCCAAAAUUUCAUUAUUGUUUUGUUUUUUCAGUACAAACCAGCGAUUGGGGAAGGGGAUUUACACAAAAUAUUUAUUGGGUGUUUGAGAGUUUUGAACUUCUGCCCACAUACGUGAAAGUGGAAGAACUCAACCAACUGAACCAUAUUAUACCCCCGGGCCAAAAUUUCAUUGUUUUAAGCUUAAGUGAGGUUGAGAUUUGUAGGUAGAAGAAGGAAGAGAGAUCGUUAGUUCAAAAAAUAAAGUCCAAUUUAUAUGACCAAAUAAUUUAGGCCAAGCCAUACGAAUAUUUUAGCCCAAAUCCAAAAGAACAUGGGCCUUGAGUGACAAGCCCAUGAACAAACGACACGUGGUUCUUGAAACCAGAAUAUUUCACACAUUGCAAUCUAGUCGUUUUGUUUUUGUGUUUUUAACUCGUGAUUUUGCUGCAUCUAGUUGAAGCUCUGUGUGUGUGUCACGUCAUAAUUGAAGGUGGCCAGGUCAACUGUUUAGGCCAACGAAUCCCAUCCAACUUCAUUUUCAUUCUGAGGGAAAACGUCUUAAACUGACAACAAUAAUUUGGUACGGGCAUAGUCUCCUCCUGCAUGCUGCAGCCAGCCACCCUGCAAAUGCAACUAACAGCAGCUAGUCUUCUUCAAAGCUUCAAUUCCAAGCAACAAAGACACCUGCCUAAAUUCCCUCUCAUCAUAUAUUGCAACUUUGGAGCUUCCAUUCAUGUAAACAGGGACAUGAUUUUGAACCCACUAAGGGUAAAUUGGUAAUUGACACAGAUGCUUUGCAUUGCAUUGCAUUGCAUGCAUAUGUCAUUGUACAAUUUGAGUUAGGACAGUUCUCAACUGUGUUCUGCUAAACCUAGUUCUAGUCUCAAUCAAAAUGACUUCUGAGUUGAUGUUUAAACAAAUCAAUUGCUUUCAUUUCUUUCUUUGCUAGUGUGUGUGUAUCUUUAUACCAAUCUGAUUGGAUUUGCAGGACACUAGGGUUUGGUUUAGAUUGCAACUACUCGGCUAGUAAUCACUGUACCAUUCUAAGUUUCAUUUCUGUAGAUGAUAGUGCUGCUUGAAAGUGAGUCCAAUAUAAGAUUUCUUAAUGUGGAAAAUUGUUGGUACACAAGUUUUCCUUUCUUCUGUUGUAUACAAACUUUUAGGUUUAAAACGUUGAGAGUGUGAAUCAUGUAUCGAAGAAUUAAAGUUUCGCUUAAUAGUUUAAAUGAUCUCGGGUUCUCCAUUCAUUGCCAAUUGGUUUUGGGUUGGAUGCUCACAUGCUCCCAUAUCACCUAAUAUGGGUUGUCCACUUGUUAAGAGUAUGCAUAUCCCAUGUUGGGAUCUCAAAGCAUAUUGCCUACUAGUGUAAAUGGUCCAGGACUUCACCUAUAUCCCCAAUUGGUUUUGGGUUUUAGGUUAAUGGGGAAGAAAUAAAUGUUUAUUUUGAUUGCUUUGAAGAUUCAAAGUAUGUAUAGCUACUGCUUUAUAGAGGAAUGUGUGAAUUGAAAAUGACAUUUCCAUGUGUGCGUAUAUAAUUUUUCAAGGCAGACCAGAAAUGGUGCUUAGACUGAGACUGUAACGCUAAACUUAGCACAAUGUUAAAAAGGUGUGUAUAGUGGGAAUUGCACUGUCCACAAACACACAACACUAGGGCUUCUCAUCUCAUCUGUCAACAUUAUCCUGAAACUUACGAUUCAAAGAGAGAAUCUUGGAGGAAUGGUGACUGGCCACAUUUUUUUUUCUUUUCUCGGUGGCUUUUUCUCAGUAUCCAAGCAAACUCUCCAAGGCCUGUUGUUUUCACCAGAACAUCACAGUCGUUGCUUUAAUUCAAUUUCCACGCCACCCUUUUGCAAAAAAUUAUGGCACAAAUUAAGUGUAACUUGUCCUUGUAGCUCAGCAAAUCCCACCUAGUUUUCAUUGCAGUUUUUGUCAUCAUUGAAUGAUUAUGCCGCAGUUUAAUUCUUGCCAGAAACUAUGUUGAGCUUUGUGUUCUGAAAUAGAAGGAAGAAAGAGACUGCGAGAGUUCUUACUGUAGGCAUUGGUUCAAUUCUAGUUAGUCAAGAACAAAGGAUGUUACUCUAAAAUGAACCAAUUCAAAGUAGAAAAUGAGUUCUGCUUUAGGCCACAUGAUGAAGACCAGGGCAUUUUGAAAAAUGAAGGGGCUUUUACAAAGAUAUGCCUAACUCUUAUAUUAUGAACUGCGCAUUGGUUUGGUGAUUUCUAAUAAAUUUAGCUCCAUCAAAUUAUUUUUUUCAUUAAUAGAGGAAUGAGGAUUCGAAUUUGAGAUCUCAUCUAACAUCGAGAACAAAAGUACAACUAACUUUUAUAUUAAAAUGUUAUUACAUAUGUGAAUUAAAUCAGUUAGUCAAAGCAGUAUACCAUGCACUUGAGUUGGAUCAGUUUUACAGUAGCUCAAUUCUUUUUGUUUUACAUCCAUAAGUAACUAAAGAGUUGUUCAUAUGGAACAUAAAUAAGUGAAUCUAGCAAAGCUCCACCAAGAGUAUGUUGGAUCCAAUCUCUCUCUCUCUCUCUCUCUCUCUCUCUCUCUCUCUCUCUCUCUCAAAAUAAAGGGAAAAGAAAAGGCUGCAUCCUCUCAGAGUCUGUUUUUCCAUUUCACAAUCUUCUUGGGAUCACCAAAAUUCUCUCCACUUUCUCUUUUUUACUCCCUCACACAAAAACAAACACCAUUAAUCACCUCACCACCUCCUUUUCUCUUUUACUAAAGCUGCCUUGUCUUGUCUCCCAACCCCCUCUUUUUCUCCUCUCCCUCCCAAAACUCCCCCAUCCCAAAACUACCCAUCUCAAAAGAAGACACCCCAUACAACUUCCAAGGUCAAUUUCGUACUCUCACCCACCAAAGCGGACAGAGCCACACGGAACAAAGCAGUACAGGUGUCAGAUCAUGAGUGGUGUUGAUUUUACUGCUAGGCAGUAGGGGGCAGAUGAGUUGAUAUUAUAAUUAAUUUAUUUUGUGUGUGGUGGCGUGUGACAGCGGAUCUCAUUGGGAUCUGUGAGGACCGAGGAGGAGCUUGCACUCGUGUGAACGCCCGACAUGUUGGCCCAGCCCACCACGUGCGGUGAAAAAGCCUUUUAUAAAAGUCACUGUAGACUGGCUUGCCUGCCUGCCUGCCUGCCUGCCAAUUUCCAAAUCCAAUUUGCUCAUGCUGUACCACGCUUGGAUACCAGUGCUUUCUGUGGGUUCGCAUAAAAAACCCUAAUGGGCCCACAGAGUUUUUUUUUUUUAUAUAGUAUAUUAUCGUAGAGACACUAAGUGUCUGUUUGGUAUUAAACUUUAAUUCAAUUUUUUAAACUCAAAAACAGAAUUGAAGUCCAAAACAAAUAAAACUUGUUUGCUAGCCCUAUUUUUAAAACUAAAAUUCAAAAAUAACAAAAAAAACACCUCAAUUAUUAAAAACAAAAAAUAUCUGUUUUUUCAGUUUUUUUUCUAACAAUCCACAAGUUCUCAAAUUUUUAAGAUUUGAAAACAGUUUUCAAGUUGCAUACCAAACAAUUUUGAAUCUUAAAAAUAGAUUUAAGAACUCCUUGUUUUAAAAAUAAAAAAAAGUUUCUGAGUUCCAUAUUUGAAUAAGAUACUAAACGCUCCCUAAGACUCCAAUUGAACUUAACCCUAUGAAUUAAAAGUCAGCUAAUUUAAUACUCGAAUGAAUUAAAAUGACCAAUUUAACCCUAGUCGUUAAGUUUUGUGAUUUUUCAUCUAAUUUUUUGUUAACUAUAAAGAUAAACUUGUAAUUUCGAGUAAAUAAAGUCAAAUACAUAAAACUAAAAGAAAAAUAAUGAUAAAAGCAAAAUAAAAACUAAUAACAUAUUUAUAAAUAUAAAUAAUAAUAUAUAAUAAAUGAAAAACCAACCCACGCACAACCCCACCUUACAGUCGAUUUGCUACAAGAAAUCUUGCCAAAAGAUUCAUCUUCCCAAGCAUUUACCCACCUCGUUCAUUUAUGAAAUUCUUUUUGCUUUGCCGGAAAAUAAAUGGCCCCCAUUCCACAAGUCGUUCAAAAUUUUCAAGCAUUGCCUUUUUCAUGAAUGAUGCCGGCUGGGUUUUGGAGGGAGGAGGUAGUGGGUGGGACUGCGUAAUCUGUGUGUCGACUGAAAAUUGGGGUUUUGGAGGACUGGGUAAUCUGGGUUUCGAGGGUGUUUUUCUUGGGAAGAAACAGAGGAGAGAGAGAGAGAGAGAGAGAGAGUCGGUUUUUUUUCAUUUUCUAUUUUCUAACUAUUUUAGUUUUUAUAAUAAUAAAUGAAAUAGUAAGUCACGCGACUUUUUUGAAGGAAAAAUGGUUGAAAUUCAAAAAAAUUGAACGACAAGAACUAAAUUGGCGAUUUUAAUUAAUUUGGGGACUAAAUUGACUGCUUUUUUAAUUCAUGAGGUUAAUUUCUACAAUGGUCAUAAUUCAGGAGGUAAAACAGUUGAAAAUAUGGGGUUUUGUUAUAAGGGUGGAAUUUCAACUUCCUUCAUAAUAUCAGAGUGGGUUGUCAACAUAUGAAAGUCCAAUGGCCACAUGUGCUUUACGUCACUCAAAAUGUGUUGUACACGUGUUAAACUUGAAAAUUCACCACACGUACGGGGGCGUGUGAGAAUGUGAAAAUAAAAUAUCCAACUCCUUAUAAGCCCUUAACAAGAUUUUUCCCACAAAUAAGAAAUUAAUGCUUAAAUUUGAAUUUGAUAGUGAAUAUGAUGAGCAAAAGAGAAGGGUUGGAGAAAGGUUUUUUUUCUUUUAAAAGAAAAUGCUAUUUCUUUUAGACCCCAAAAAAGGAAAAAUCUUUGCUUGCAUUGGAUAUAUUGGUUUGAAAUGAGGGAGUUGAAUUUGGAUUUUUAUGGGAAUUGUUUUGUAAGACUUAGAAGAAGUGUUGAUCUUCUAUGUUAAGAAAAUCCAGAUGUAAAUUUGUUGCAAACCAUUUGAACUAAUCAUACUGAAUUAUUUUGAUAUAUUUCUGCUAAAGACUUAUAUUAUGCUAGAUCUUUUUUCCUUCACCUAAAUUCUUACAAGUUCAGUUUGUUACAAAUUCAUGGUCUACUAAGUCUACUCAUAAAAAUAUUAUAUGCAGCAAAGUAAAUGUAGUUCUGUUUUGAUUUGCUGAAAUCACCAAACCACUUUUGUGGAUAUAUCAGAUUAUAUAUAUUAAUUUUCCCCAUCUUAGGUACCAUCUUCCCACUUCAAAAGUCCAUUAAAAAAUUUCUUUUUUCACCACGUGGGGUACUUUAACAACGAAUUUGAAUGCAAAGGGCCUUAUUAGCAUUGGUUAACUGACAUAACCCACGGAUGCAUUAUUUUUAUUUUUUUAGGUGAAUGUUAACCAUUCAAUUACCAUCUUGCAAGGCCUAAGAAAUGUAAUGGACAGAAUUCAAGUAAAUAUUAUCUGAAUAAUCCAUGAACAAAAGAACAAACUUGUAGACCACAAAGAAUCACGACACAACAGAUUUUAUGACCUAUAUUUCUUUGUUGGCUUUCCCUCUAAAAAGAGUACAUCUCAAAUUAUUGACAGCCAAUAUAUUAUUGCAAAAUUCAAACACAUAUUAUUGGUCUAAUUUGCUUGACCCAACAUGCACCCUUGUACAUGGACAUGGCCAACCGCAGUGAUCAAGUCGUUUGUGGCUUAUACUUGGGUUGGAUCCUAGCCAGAAUUGGUAAGAGCCACAUACAAAAUAAAUGAUUGAUCGCAUUUAAUUUCUUAGUAAUUAAUUAAUUAAUUUGUUUUAAUUGUGCCAGUGACUUGUGCAGGGUCGGCAAGUGACAUGACUACCCAAAGGCUUAACCCUAGUGCUUCAUGAUGGCUACAAGUCGUUUUUAUAAGAACAUCGAUGUUUCCUAAUGGAUGCUGCCAACCAACUCGGGCCAUCCAUAUCCUAUUAUUUUUGUUGGAAAUUUGAGCAAUUGGGCGGUUACAAUGGAAGGGAUUUAGAGUUCUAGGGAUAUCAAAAUCGAAAGAUCAAAAUUAUACUAUUAGGGCAUCCCUUCAAAUUGUGUAUAAAAACACAUUUAAGAAGUAAGACGAGGAUUUAUAACUCUAGUGGUAGAGUACUUAUCGGUACCUAAACCUUCCGCUUACUUUAUAUUGUGUUUACAUAUUAAUCGGUUAAUUUUAUUUCCACCUUUCUUUCUUUUCUUAAGCAACACGCUCUCCUAAUUCCCUACACGUUUAUUUCUCGUUAAAAGCUAUAUGGGUUUAUUAGGAACAAACAACCUUCAAAGAAUUAUGGCUUGAUUAUUAACUAUCGAUUCUAUGCUUGCAAAAUAAAUGGCAGCCAUAACCAAAUUGCAUACUGUGCAUGCUCUGCGGGCACUUUAUGUGCAUGCGAACGCAGAAUUGUUUCUAGCCGAAAGCUUACCUUUUUGUAGGCUUGUUAAUGGUCAGACAGGAAAAAGUUUGUAAUUAAUUAGGGGCUGAGCGUUUUAAGAUCCUGAUUUAGGGUUAAUAUCCAAUAAAAAAUUGGUCAACGCAUCGGUGGGUAGGUGGUCUCAUAACCCACUAUCAUUCCAUUGAGAACAACUUCUCCUACUUCACCUACCAUAUUAUUACAUACAUAAUCAAAACCCAACUCUCAUAUCCUCCUUCUUCCAACCAGGAUAAAUCAAAUCUAAUGUUUUAACUUAGAAAAUCUUAACUCGUGCCAACGGGUCUAGCUCCUAACAAAAUAAUGACCUUGAUUUGCAAAUAAGUGAUCUUAUAUUUAAAUCUUCAUGACAUCUUGGUAGUAUGUGUGUGAAAAAUCCUCAUCUCCUUGUAUUUUAGAAUAUCGCUUAUAUUCAAAAAAUUAAUAAUUUUAACUCGUAAUUACAUUGAAAUUUUGAUGCCAAUGAUUUUGGGAUCCAAAUGGAUAUUUUCCUUGCUCAAAAGGCAUAAUGGUUACUUUAUUGUUAGAAUCUUAGUAAGUGUGGAAUCGUUAUGGAUGAAUAUUAAUCAAGGAGAUCAAAGCACUAACAAAAUCAUAAUACUUAUAUCAAUUAUACCAAGUUACAUUCCCAAUCCCGGCCAGUUUUUCAAUCUAUAGCCAUUACAGCUCUAUACCACUUUUGACCAUAGGGCAUAUAGCCUUUUCUUUUCCUACAGUCCAAGCUAGCUUUUAUAAUAUUGCGCAAUUAAAAUAAUUUUAGUUUAGAAUGAUGUUUUGAUAAUUUAUUAUUAGCAUAUCAAACUGUUAUGAUCUUGUGGUCCUCACAAGUCUCUUACAUGGCUUGUUUCGUAGUAUACUUUAGAGAUCAUAAAAGAUAACAAGUUUGCUAAUGAGGUCUAAUUCAGUUAAAAAAGGUCUUGACUUGUAGAUUAGGAAUCUCAAGUUCGAAUCCUCAUAGCAUCUUAAUUUUCCCUGUGUGAAAAAUUCCCAUUUUUCUUUAAUUUAAACUAUCGCUUAUAAAAAAAAAAGAUAACAAACUUUUUUUCUUCUUCUGCUUAGUUGUUAAUUUCUUCCCAAAAAUUCUCAACAACCAAAUUCUUCACAUCGUCCAAAAAAUUUCCCAUGUGUUUGCAUAUUAAAUUCAAAGAAAGUUUGUGCCUCCCUAUAAAGUUGUCUCUCUCUCUCUCUCUCCUAACUUUUUCCUCAAACCACCUUAUGUUCAAGUGAAGUAGCAGAAGAUAUAUUUUUAAGUGUAAUUGGUUCGAAACACAACUGUUAAAGCUUCUGUCUUUUGACAUUUUGCAUUUUGCAUUUUGAUCUGAGGCACUUGCCGCGCUUCUGAGCACCAAUCAUGGAGACCAAGGCAACAAUAAAACCGACACACACAAAAAAAACAAGAAAAAAAGAAAAAGAACCAGACAUGGCUAAUUAAGAUAUAUGUCUAUCUGGUUUUCCUUUUUCUUAGUAAAUUACAUAAAAACAUCAUUUUGGCCAUUACUAUUUAAAAUAAAACAUGCAUCCAAUGUGCUCUGCAAAUGUUGAAAGCAGGUAAUAAAUAAAUUGCGUAUGCAAAUUGUACCACGUCAUCAUACCGAUCAAUAAUUCAACGAUAUUUUUAAUUUCAAUACAUGCAAUGCCGAUUAACAAUUCAACGAUUUUUUUUAAUUUCAAUACAUGCAAUGGUGUUAAAACCAAAACAAAUAAUAUUUCAUUACAAAAUUAUACGAAUGCAUGAAGCCUUGUGAAUCGUUAAACUCACUACCCUAAUGACAUUGUAUGACUCUCGUAAGUUUUUAUAUGUGAUGGGUUUACUUUUGUUUCAAUCAAAUAAUAUUAUAAUGAAGAUUUGAACUUGCGACCUCAAUUGUAGAGAUAAAUAUUCUUAGUUAUUAGUUACGAACUCCAGCUAUCACAAGAGGGGUUGUUGGGAUAUCCUUGCCUUCCAUUAUUAUAUGUAUUAAUUUGCGCUGGAUACGUAGGAGUAAAAACUAAAAGCAGGAAAAAGUUGAGAGAUACCAUAAAAUAUACAUUGCUUUACACUGAUAUUGCAUGGUGGUUUGAAAAUGAAGUUUAUGGGCAGUGUUUUAUAUAAAUUCUCUUAUACGAUAUUCAAACGUUAUUAUCGUACGGACGUUAUGUAUUGUGCACUAUCCUUCCUUGAUUUUCUAUCUGUUUAUAAUAGCAUUAGCACGAUAAUAACGUGCGAAUAUCUGGAUAAGAGAAUAGCUAUAUAUAUAUAUAUACUUAAAAAUAUCUUUAAAAUGCUUUUUGAGCCAAUCUCUUGGAUUAGAAUUAGAAGCCAACCGAAUUUGACAUGAAGGCUUGUAGAUCGACCAGAUCAAAGAUUAGAUCCUUUUGUCCACAGCUUUGGAGACCAUACAUUAUCUCACUCUUUUCUUUCCCUUCAACUCAUCAUUCACCUCAUUUUUACUGCCGGUAAAUCCAUGCCGCCAGUGGAUAACUUUAAUAGAAAUUUUAACCGAAUAAUAUUUUUUUAUUUGUACAAACAAAGUAUAAUUAAAAACAAAAAAGUGGAUUAACAAGAUCCAGCUUUUUUGACUAUUAAUCACUCCAUAUAUAUCGUAUCAGAUAUGAGAUAUAUAUAUGUAUGUAGUGCAUGAAGAUAGUGUUAUGUUCAAGUAAGGGAGGUCCCCACAUGGUGAUGAGAGAAUGUGUAGAAAAUCUGCCUUCGCUUUUAAGUACCUCACCUCAUCUUCAUCUCUUUAUUUCUUUUUCCAUUUCUCUUGUGAAACACAACGCCAUCUUUUAAUUUUCACUCACCUUCUACGCUUGACGUGACUUGUCUUGCCUUGUCUUGUCUUGGUGUAAGACCCUUAAUUAGCAAUUAGAAAGAUGAAAUGCUCUGCCGCUAAAACUAUAAGCCUUUAUGCAAUUGCUCAAACAUCAUUUACUACAUAUGCAGCAAAACGGAAAAUAGAAAAAGCCAAGAGAUAAUAGAAAUUAAUUAAUAUUAUUUUCUGAUGUAAACCCCCAAACCAUUUACUCAAAAAAAGAAAAAAAUAGCUAAUAAAAUUCUCGCCAACUCUUUUUUUUUUCUUUUUUUUUCUCCUUCUACUAGAAAUUACAAAAUCAAACGAUUAGAAAUGGCUCGAUUUCUGUCGAAAAAGGUAGUCUCAUACACCGGCAAUUCUUCACGGUACCUUUCUUCAACCCCGGCAGUAUCCAACUCAAACAGAUCAGAGCUUGCAUAACUCUCUGCGUCAUCAUCUUCUUCUUCAACAUUCUUCUUCUGAUAAUUCUUCAACAAUAAGUAAUCUCUAGCAACUUGCUCAACUCUCCGACGGUGUUCGUCGUCGUCAUCAACCUCCAUUACACAGCACUCAAACCUAAUAUCUUCAAUUGUUGGAGGUUUCGCGGCUUUCUCCGCCGCCAUUAAACCCGGCUCUGCUUCAUGCAGAGUCUUCUGCCCGCAUGGCUGACAGUCCUCGUCCACAAUCACACUCACAGGGCAGAACCUCACUGACCUUUUUGCGACAUCUCCAUUGUUGCUGCCGAUGCCACUCAGCUCGCUUCUCGAAAGAGGCGUUUUUCGCAGACAAGACCUCGAAAAAGAAGAGGCUGAGGAACAAGUGCUGCUCGAGUUUGAAUGCCCCUGUUGUCCAGAUUUUGAGGAUGAUUUUCUCUCCGCACCCAAAUCGUAUGAUGGUUUUCUCUCCACACCCAAACCAUCAAUUUUCGACUUCUUCACAUGCCCUGCAUUAAACAGAGAGUUGAGAAAACUCGCGAGCCGGCCACCCGGCGAAAUUGGCUGCCUCACCUUCUUCAAAUCGCCGUAAAUCUUCAACGCUUUCGAUUUCGUCUUCACAAAACUGUUCUCGUGCUUUGUCUUCUGUGAAUUAUGGUGAUUUCUCUGCUCAAAUUGAACCUUCUCGGAUGAAAUGCUGGUUCGAAUUGGCUUAGGCCUGUGCAUGCUGUAGCAUGACGACGACGACCUCGAUUUUGAUCCGUACAUGGACUCUGACUCGGAUGAAGAAAACCCACCACCGCAGCUCGAGUCCGAAGAGCUGGAGCUCGAAUUCAAAAGGAACUCAUUACGAUUGUAGCUCGACUUUUUCGUGUCAAAAUCCGCCAUGGAAUUUCGUCGAACAGGUAAGGACUUAUCAGUCGCUUUCUUCUCCAUCCACUUUUCGAUCAAGCAGGCUCUUCGGAGGCUCAUAAUUUCAUGUUCCCGGUCUUCUUUGAAGAGGCCAUGGCGGCCACUGGUAGUAGUAGCAGCAGCAGCAGCAGCGGUGGUGCUCUGUUUUUUCUUCGUGGUUUCUUUGUAGAAGAUAAGGUGUUGUUGCUCUUCUCUUCUUGAAACUCCUUCACCGGUGUUGGGUUCGUCGAUCGAACGGUAAAUGGUGUCGAGGAGAGUGGAGGAGAAAGAUGGGUUUUCUCUACUAUGUCGGUUGCUUCGAGCUUCUCGGUUUUUUUGCAGUGUUUUGAUAUCCCACUUCUCCAUUUUUGUCUGGUUUUAUACUUGUACAAGUACGAAAUUGGGAAACAGUUGUACUGGGUUUUCAAUGAUAUUCAAUUAUGGAGGUCUCUCUGUUUUGUCUGCUGUAAAUUGAGAGAGAGAGAUAGAGAGAGAGAGAGAGAGAAAUAGAAUAUGGUAAGGCCAAAGAUGAUUAUGGGAAGGACAUUUUGAAGACAAAGACUCUAACUUUGCUCUGCUUUUGCUCUCUCAUCACUGUGUCUCUGUGUGUGAGGCUAAAGAAGAAAGAAACAAAGAAAAGAAGGCAUGGGCUUUGAUGGGUUUUUGAUGGGUUAGAGAGAGAGAGGGAAAGAGAGAGAGUAAUGAAAACCAGAGGCCACGCCUGUUCGAACAGAGAAAACAGAGAGCACAAAGCAAAGUAGACUGAUGAGAGAUAGGACAGGGAGAGAGAGAGAGAGUGGGGGUUCUUUUUUUUUUCACACGGUCUUAUAAGAGUAGAGGAGCGAAAGGGCGAGCAUGCAGAGUCCAAGCUGGAGUGGGGUCCAGCCUUGACAAUGAUGACGUGGUAUAUUAUUUAUUUGAUUAAUUAAAUUAAAAAGGGAUUCUCAUAAUUUCUGCCAUUAUUGGAUUGGCUUCUACUUCUUCUUCUGCUUUGCCUCGCCUCGCUGCUCUCAAAUAUUCAGUUGAGGUGACCCCAAGAUUUGCUUUAAAGCUUUAAAGAAAAUAAAGGGAUAUUAAGUAUUGAUUAAUGUCUAGUGUAGGACAUAAACACAAGAUGUUGAUACUAACGUUACUACACACCUUUUUAUUCAUUAAUUAAGCUCCCUCUUUAAUUGCUUUUAAUUUUUCGAUUUGUAUAAAGCAUAAAUAUCACCCGAAACUUUUAGACAUGUGCGCCAUUAGCACCUAAACUUUUUAUUUUUAUUUUUUACCACCUGAACUUUGUAAACUGUUGUAAUCCCUUUUAAUUUAAGGGCAUUUUUGUCAAUUCACUAUAAUUACAAAUAAUUAUAAUAAAAAAUUAAGGGAGAUGGGGAGUAGAGGUUUUCCUACUUACCAAACAAGUUCACACCAAUAUUCAAAAUUUUCCAACAAAAUUCAAAAGGCUUUGGAGUUCUUUAACUUUGUAAUAAAAGAUUGCGGAUUUAGGUCAUUCCAUUCAGGAUUCCCAUUCACAUCCUCCCUUAUGUGCAGAUUCUGCUUGGCGCUGAGAUUCUCUUGCCUUUGGAUGGCCUCGAGGCUUCUCUCUGUACACUUUUGAUUUUCUUACAUUUUUUUAAAUACAUAAAAAACAUUAGAGGAAGAUGAUGAUGGGUUUGGAAGGUGGGAAUUGGGCGUGAACAGUUGUAUGAUUAAGAAAUAGAGUAGAGAUGGAGAAUUAUUGGCCUUGCCCUAGCUGUUUUUGCAUGCUUCAGUCAGCCUUGGACAGUCAACUAAUGCGGCCUCACUUCUGCCAUGGCUAAGACUUAUAUGACGACGAUCACCUCAAAGCCCAUAAAUAAAACGACCAAGUUGUUAAAAUUAAUGGCUUCCGUUGACAAAUUUCUGUACUUUUUGGUAAACAAAUCAAAUCGAUUAUUACCAACUACCUGCUGUAUAUUAUUGGUCCCAACAUUUCCAUAUUGUACCAAUAAAUAGAAAUUAUCCUAUGCGGAUAUUCGGACAUUAUUAUCAUGCGGACGCUAUAUAUUUUAUACCAUUCUUCUUUGCUUUCAUGCCUGUUUACAAUAGAAUCCGCACGAUAAUAAUGUAUGUAUAUCCAUAUAAGAGAAGAACUAUAUAUAUAUAUAUAUAUUCAUGAAUGUAUGUAACUUUUAGUUAUGUUGAAAGUUGAAAUGAUAUAUUGAUCAGAACAAUUUUAUAACCCCAAGUACCGAUUAGAAGUUGGGUGUUCAACAUGAAUUCAUAUUGUAUGACAACACCAUUCAUCUGAUAAAGUAGAAUGAACUCGCCGGAUUUAACAGUUGUAACUGCAUUCAAUAUAAAGUCUCAUGGCAGAAAAGAAAAACCCUUAUAAGUAUUUUGAUUUAUUAUUAGCCAAAAUGUGUUUUUAAGAGAGAGAGAGAGAGAGAGAGAGAGAGAGCAUGUUGCAUGUUCUUAGUGGGUAGUGCUAAUUUGUACAAUGAUUGCACUCGUGGCUCUAAACUUUUCGGCCAGAGAGUGGUGAGCUAGAGAUAGAGAUCUAAUUAGAAGACACCAAAACGAAUAAGUAAGUGAGCUUAGCUAGAAGUGAUUUGAUUAAUCUAUCAAAGGAUUAGGACAAAGAGAGAAUGUUUAGAUAGAAAAAAGAGAGAAAAAGUAAGAUUAAGCUAAUACACACUAAACAAACAAAAAGGCCUCCCAAAAGCAAUGUGCGUGUGCCGUUGGCUCUUCUUCCCUUCCCUUCCCCUCCCUUUCCUCACACAUGUAUUCCCUUCAAGGCUUCAAGCUCAAGAAAAUUCCCCAUCAUUGUAUUCUCUACUUCGUGUAUAUUUAUAAUCCACAAAACCCUACUACUUUGCCCAUAUUAAUCAUGCUUUGCAGCCAUGAAAUCCCAUUUCAUAUGCCAAAAGUUGACAUAUUAAUCAACUAAUGCGGUGGGGGUGGCUAUCGAGUUUAAACAUACACAUGAACAAAAAGAAAAUGGUGGGUAAAGAUUUACACUCCAAGCUAUAUAUAGAAAUCUGACUAUCAAAUUAUUUAGUUGUUUAACAAUGAGGAAAGCGAAAAUCGUCUCUCAACUUAAAUCUUUGUUGUUAUAAGUCCCACUUGCACUAGUGCAUGUAUAGAUAUAGAGCGUGUUGAAUCCUCUCUCUCCGAUAGUUUAAAUUAGAUUAAAGUAAAAUAUCCCUUGUUUAUAAAAAAAAUAAAAAAAUAAAAAGGACUUUGAGCUUCCAAAUUCUUCAUCAAAUGUAGGUGGUUGGUACAUGCCCCUGUGGUCUACUGCUAGGUAUAUAAUACAGAAUAGCUAGGCUUAUUAUGAAAAAGGAUUGAGAUUCCUUUCAUUUCAUGUCACGGGCAUAGGGUUGAUGUGAGAAGUAUGAAGCAAGAAGAUUCCAUUCAGGUCAUGGAAUGACCAAUUUGGGGACCCAAAAACCAAUUGAAUGUAACAUUGACAUGGCCUAACCUAGAAAAAGUUCAAUCUGUACCGCACAUUCCCACCACCAUCAUCCCCACCCACUCAAGAACGUAUGAAGACAAUACCCUUGGUGGAUGUAUAUUUCAGUUUCCACUACCAUCUAAUCCAAUUAAAUCGAUUAAUUAGACAUGUCCAAGGACAUAUAUGGUACUAAGUGGUGGAUGAUUAGUGAAAACCCAUAUUUCAAAUCAAAACGAUUGUCUGAAUUUUUACGUCUAAACUUCUGUAACUAUUGAGGUAGAACAUUAAUCCCCACACUCAAGACUUCAAAUAUGAAUUCUCAUAAUAAAAAAAGAAUUUUCUUAAUCAAAAUGGUUUAUGAACUAGUAGCACCUUCUGGUCCUUAAAGAUUAGAAGUACGUGAUGAAAACCUAAUUUUCGGAUUUGGAAAGUAAAAGAUUCAAUUUGUUUGGUGACAUAUUAACACAAAAGCGUUGUAUAUGGUGAUUUAAACAUUUAUGCUUAUUGUAUGAUAGCACAUCAAUUAAUUUGAACUACACAUAUUUAUACGCACUCAGAAUAGGACCAUAUAUUCCUUGAUUUGAUAUUUUGGUCUUAUACAUGCAACACCAACUUAUGUACCCCAAAGUGGUGUUACGGUGGAUCCACAACAGAUGUGAAAAAUUGAUCACAUCAAACGAUUUCAUUUUUCGCUAAUGGGGUCUUAGCUUUGUGAAAAAAAAACUUUAAUUUACACACUAAUGAUCUUAGGUUCGAACUCUCAUUACACUUUGCAAUAUGUGUGAAAAACCCCCUCCUUCUUCUUAACUUUGACCCCACCAAAAAAACGACUUCAUUUUUCUUUGUUUUUUCCAUUUACCCCCUAUUUUUCAUUAUUUAUCAUCAACCAUAAAUCUUUUAAAAAAGAAUGAUGCUAACACCUCAACACUACACCACCAUCCUGCGUACUUGGAAAGGAUGGUUGAAAUUUGUAAAUUAAUUUGGUCCAUGCUUUUACAUCAUUCUUCUCAAUCUUUCUUUUCAACCUUGCAUGGGUCACCCAACUCAUAGCGAGUAGCUCCUACUAAAACCAUAGAUUGCUUUGCCCCCAUCUCAAUCAUCAUAUUGUAAAGCCAAGGCUACCAUAUAUUUACAACUCACAACUGCAUAAACAACACACAACACAACUAUAUAAAAAUGCCUCGCCUGCACUAUUGCUCAUCAUUCAAAUCCUUAGCUAUACUUAGGGUUUGAUCUUUCUUUAACAAAUGGGUCCUAGUUAAUUAUGUGUUAUGUUAUGUACUGAUAUUCAAUGUGCAUGAUCUCAAAACUGUCAUUGCAAACCUCCAAUUUAAUUUUCUCUUAUUCGUAGCAGCUAGAUCUUAAAUCGCGGAAUGAAAUCAUUUUAACUAUAGAAACACAAUAUCUUUAUGCAAAAUGUGUACACAACUUUAUUUUCAUUUUAAAAAGUUAACGUAUAAAUCAAUUAACUCUUGGUGUAGUGAUAUUUCUCUUCUAAUGUUAGAAAAUAUCUCAACUUCAAAACCUAAUAAGUUCGGAAUCAAUUAUAUCCCGAAAGGAAAAAAGAAUCAUGAAUGAAAUAAAAAGGGUAGGUUAAGGGAGCAUGCGUGCGAAGGCAUGUAUGAAAGAGGAGAUGACCACCACCAGCAGAAGUUACUAAAGCUUUGGUUCAUUUCUUAGUGAUGAGAAAUACAAAACGAGAGAGAAUUUUAUAGUUGUAAACUGAAUUGAAUAUUACCUAAAAAGGCUAGCCUGAACAUGUAGUUUUUUUUUAUAAAAAAACAAAUUUAAUUCAAGCAAUAUUGGGGAGGGGGGUUUUCUCAAACACACACUGCGAAGGUGUCAUGGGGGUUCGAACCUAAAAUUAUUGGUCUGCAAGUCAAGGCGUUUUUCCACUGGGUCAACCCCCACCUGGUUGGCGAAAUCAUGUAGCAAUUUUUUUUUAAUGCAAGCGAUAGUCUAAAUUAGGUAUAGGCACAAGUCGGUUCGGAACGGUAGAGUGCUCUUUUGUUUAGGAUUUAGGGUUUAGUAUUGAACAAAUACUCCAAAUUAUCCAUGUAAAAGAUUUUUUAAAAAAAAUCAAUAGUCUAAUUCAUCCAAAUGCGAAAUCAAAGAAAUUAAUUUUACAGUUAAAAACGAGUAUGAAAAAUACAUAAUAAAAUAGUAAAUAAUAUUACAAAACACCAUGAAAUUAGUUUCAAAGUUUCAAAGAGCCAAAAACUACAUAAAAGAGGCCUAAUAAUCUUCAUAUUUAGCCAUUGAUAAGUUGGCACGUAUAUUAAUAUUUAAAUAUCAGUAUAAUUAUAAAUAUCAGUUCGGUACAAAUUUAGGGAUACUGUUACUUGGUCUUUUAACCAAAUUUUUCAGUACCAAUCAAAUCGGAAGAAUUAAAAAAUAAUAAUAAUAAUUUUACCAAACCAAACCAUCGAUUCGAAUAUGGUUGAUAGGCGAAUUUUUCAGAUGAGAUGCCCACCCCUACAAGGGGGGGGGGGGGGGUGGGUUUUCUCACACACACUAUCAAGGUGUCAUGAAGAUUUGAAUUUGAGAUCACUGGUCUGCAAAUCAAUGCCCUUUUUCAUUCGACUAAACCUCGUUGGCAUUUAAUUAUAAAGAAGAGUACCUAACCUACAAAUCUAAACUAAUUAUACUAACAAACAUUAACUACAUCCACAAAUUUGAUUUUUGAAAUCUCCCCAACCAAUGGUUGAUGGGUUUAACGAACUUUGAGGCAUUCCUCAAAUAAACCCAAAGGUAUCUUUGUAAAGUUCAUUAUAUAUUAUAUUUCAAUGAUCCGACCGUUUAUUUUGAACGUGCUCAUGCAUAGAGUAUUUCGGUAAAAAAAUCAUCCAAAUCACACCUAAUUUAACCUAUGAUUAAAUGCUAGUUAUUAUAUCUUUGAAAACCUUGUUUUCGUGUAUUUAUUUCAUCACAAUUAAGUUUUUUUAUAUAAUUAUUUUUUUCAAAGAUGAUUUAUGAAUAAAAACUUGAAAAAUGAACGAUUCAUACCGUUAAAAUACAAUAUCAAAUGAGUCCGCAAUUCAGAUGAUGGAAUAUCACUUUUAAUAUUAUUAUAGGGUUAACCACACAUAAAUAUUCAGUUUUUGAGGAAGAUAACCUAUGAAUGAUUAUGAUAAUAUCACCACCAGAUUAUAGAGAACUGAGCCAGAAAGCUUGUAGACAAGACAACUGAAUUCCCAACGGCUGGAUGAGCAAAAUCAUAGGCCAUAGGCAAUGGAUGCAGCAACUUGGGAAACUGAAAGCUCAUCUGGAUUUGCUUAGCUAACUUAUAAACGUGGGGCUUCAGCUUCAGCUUCAGCCUUGUGGGGUUGUAGAUAGCUUUGUCGUGUCAUGUGUGCAGAAUCAUGAAAGACAUAACAAAAAAAGAAAAAAAAAAGUGAAGACUUGUGUUGGCAAUCCCGAGGUAAUGAGAACAUUUCUAAGAUCUCUUAAAGAGAGGAAUGACACAAAGCAUGAAUGAUAGCUGCCUCUCUCUUUCCUUCUCACUAGUAGAAUAGAACGGAGAAUGAUAGAGAAUAAAGCCAACCUCUUCCCCUUCUUUCUUCUGCCAAAAGCCCAGGUCAUACCCAUGUCUCUAGAGGAAAUAAAGCACCCUUCUCCUUUUUCUCUCUUCUUUUAUUUUACUGUAGAGAAAGCUACAUUCGAUUUCCUUUGAAUUGUUCUUUCGAAUACAUUCUUUUUUUCAGGAGAGGCAAUUUCUGACCGUUCAUUGUACGUGAGCCUCACAUGCACCAACGGUCAAAAAUCACUUCACAUACAUCCAGAGUCAAAAAUGGCUUAUGCAUUCAGUAGACAACUGAACACACAGUACAACUCCUCAACCUAUAACCCCUCAAAUUUUUUACUAUCUAAAAAAGAAAAAAUUAGUUUCAUGCAAGUUCGAACCCUUCUCCAGCCCCCAAAUUGUUUAUUAUUUUAAGGAUAAGAAAAUAUUGAUAUCAAUAGGACCUUAUGUAUGGCACAUGAAGAAAAUUGAAAAAUGGAACACCACAUGAAGCAUUGAUUCAUUAAAUAAGAAAAGAUUAUGGGUUAUAUUGAUUUGACAAAGAAAAACCCUGCUAUACCUCUACUUCAGGCCUUACAACCAAGGAGUUAGAUUCACAUUUUCCUUUUACUUUUUUUGUUCGUUCUUUGUUCAGAAGUUGGUUUGCCAAUUCAUAUGGUUCAGUUGGGGUUGCUGAUAUGCACCAACCUGUGCCCCAGGAGCAGCUGCUGCCACCCCAACUCCGACGUUACCACCCAUAGCAGGACCCAAAUGGUGUGGAUUGGGAAUUGCAGCAGGCUGAGGAGGGUGGUACAAACCUGGGAAUUGCAUGUGGGAAGAUUGGGCUGCAGCUGCAUUGAAGGAAGCAUGAGCAGCGUGAGAUGGCAUAUAAGCACCAUGAGGUGAUUGAGCAGGCACGUUGUAGUAUGGAGUGGAUUGCAGGCCUGGGUGCUCCCUUGGGUUCUGAAUCCACAUCUCUGAUGUCUCAGCCUGCCAGAUCAAAUGUUAGGAAAAUAAUUAAGAUCAGAUGCGUUGAUGUGAUCAAUAAUCAAUACAAAUGAGACAUUGUCAAACCCUCUCCAGCUCUUCCGUAAGGCAUUGAUGGAACAUUGAUUCCAACCCAGGUAAUUAUACUAUUCAACAAUUAAAAUCAAUUUAUUUUAACGCAAAUAGUUUAAUGCACAGUACUCUAAUUUUUGCAUUCAUUGUGUCCCUACAACAAAUGUUUAAUUUUACCUGUGGAUUUGCGACAUAAAGAUUGCCAUCUUUGUACUUGAUUCUAGAUGAAUCUUCGAGCCCUGAGGCACCUCCAACUACACCGGGGCCAUUGAUUGCAUACCCAUUAGGAUUAGUAAAAUUCCCGUACCCUGUGGGACUUCCAGCAGGGACAGGCUUAAACGGCUGAACUCCAUACUUGAGGCUGUUCGCAUUUAGGUGGGAUCCACCACCAGGCAUCAGCAAGUAGCUGUUGCCAUUAGACAUGUGAGGAUAGGCAGGGUUGCUAGAAUAGCCAGGCACGGCCAUCGGUGGAACAUAAACUGGUGAGAGAAAUUGGCGGUAUGGCAUAAGAUUAGCAUAAUGUGAAACAUGAACUUGUGGGUACAUCUGUGCCACAGGGGGUGGUUGCUGUUGAACCAUGGCAACUGUUGAUGCAGCGAUGCUGUUGACAUUAUGUGAACUCAAUGCCUGUAAUCAUAGAAAAUAGCAUCUAUCAAAGAUGUGCUAUGAGUUGUGGAGAAGAAAAAGGUAAUAUUCCCUUCACUAUUGUUUUAAAAAUGCCAGGAAAACAAAUAUUUCAUUACAGGGUCCCCUACAAAACAUGAAUAGAUUUUGCACACAAAUGGGUAUCAAGCAGCAGUUUUAGUGUAUCAAAUGGAAAACAGGUGUUUUAAACAGGGUUCAGUGUGUAGGGCAUGUACAUAGAAAUGGUAGACCCUGUCCUUGAGCUUUCAUCAAUAUCACAAAGGUAUCAAGCAGCAAUUGUAAUGCGUCCAAAGGCGUGUCUAAAAUGUGUAGCAGUAACUGUAGUACAUAUCACAAUAAAGUAACCACUUUAACCUACCUCCUGUGGAGAUGGCAGACCCUGUCCCCGUACACUUUCAUCCAUAUGCGGUCUGAAAUAAGGUAUAUUAUAACUAGUCUGAGGAUCGAACGCCUGCUUCAAACCCAAAGCGUCAGAAUGGACAUUCACAAGAUGUUGUAAAAAAAAGACAGUAUUAUGUUGAAAGAAAAAAAAAAAAAAAGAGAAUGUUAUAACACACAUAUACUUCUUUCAAACUAAGGCCUUCUAUCAGCAAACCAAACAACGAAGAUUUAGAAAACACCAAAAAUCACACUUAACACUCAUCAGAUCAGGAAAAUUGGUUGGCCAGUAAAAUUUGAAAGGUGACAAUAAAAUUUAUAUAUAAAAGGUGGCACUAGUAUGAACAGUGUACUCACCGAAAAACCUUCUAACUCUGGUUGUUCUUGCUGCUGUGAAUCUGAAGGUGCAUAGGAUGGACUGGUGUCUCGAACCAAACCAAUAUCUGCAUAAUUGUCCAAAGUUUGAGGACUUGAGGUGUCAUUUUUCUCAGGCAAUUGACGCUCAGGCACUGCACCUGAUGCUGGAGAAUCAGAUCCAGAAUUUCUAACUUGGUGAUCUAACAAAUCUACUGGCUUGAUGCCAGAAGCCUCAUCACUGCAGGACUGUGGAGCUGAUAGUGACAAACUGCACAAUAGUGGCAUAUAUAAGCCGAAGGGAAUUACCCAAAGAUCUUACCACUCUUAUUUUGCUUUCUUAAAACAUGUUUUCCACUUCACAAGUGAAUAAAAAAAGAACAAAAAAUUUUUUAUAAAUAGAUAGCAUUGUAAAUACAGCUACACAGCAAGGAGAUGGUAAAUUAAUAAAUUAAUUCUUAAAAUUACAUCAGCACCCUCUUUAUUGUAGCAGAAUUGAUUCAAAAACUUUACUGUCCAUAGAGUUGGAUACAAUUCAGAAAAUGGAUCUUAAGAAUAUUCAUAUUUUAGAUUUACCAAAAUUUGACACUUGCUUACUACAUAAGGACCGAAAAAAUAGAUAACACCUACCUUCCUGCAGGUUCCCCGUUUGACUCCUCUGUACCUCCUGCUUGAAAUCCAUUAACCAUAUUCCCUGUUGAAUCAAGCUCUGUCCCCAAGCUUCCAAACGUUAGCCGAAAACGAUCACUGUCCGGAACCCUAAUAUUCUGUGCUAUGACGACAUUAGAGUUAUCAUAUACAUUUACUCGCGAAAGCUUAUCUUGCAACUUAGCCGCUUCUGACUCUGAGACCUUGGAAUUAUCAGGAGAUGAAACAGAUUUUGUUGGUGUUCCAAUGACUCCAGGGCUAUUAGAGCUUGGCUUUUGGCUUGACUUAGGUUUCCAUUCCUUAUUAGGCUGGGAAGCUACAUCCAGAAACAUGAUUAAAACUCUUUUUAGAAUUUUAAGUUAGAAAAAAGUAAAGACAAAUCUUCACAAACAAAAAUGCAAAAUAUGUUAAAUAAAAAAAUUGUUUUGGUAAACAGCAAAGUUUUCUUCAAUGGUAAGUCAGUGGUUUUCAAAAGGGACAUAUAGAUAUGACGGCACACAGAAAGUAUGUGAGCAUGUACCACUCUCAUCCCACGAGAAUAGCAAUGCAAAUUCCACCUUAUCUACUGUUGGUUUUUUAUUUAUGACAAUUUUUAUCUACUGUUGGUUGACUAGUAACAAUGCAUUGGCUGUCAACAUCUUCCAGAUUGUUUCAGCUUUGGCAUAGAACAGGUUAAUUUUCACACCUCCAAAAAAAAUUAACCAAAUAAUUUGUUUAAGAUAUUUCUGCUAUUAAAGUAAUUGUGUGCAGACAGAUUCAUACUCAAAAGGAACUUCACUAAUUUUUUUAUCCCAUUCUUAAAGCAAACAUACCUUUCUGAUGACCCACAGGUUGUUGAUGCGGCCUGGCAUUGUGCUGAUUACUUAAGAAUGGUCUGCUGACGGACACGCUAGGCAUCACAGAUUCAGAGGUUUGGCCAACUUGAUCAGUUUUAGAGAUGCCAGUGAAAGGUCGAAAUGACUCCGUAGAACCCUCUUUUCCCAAAAGUGAAUUUGAGAGAGAACUACUAGGUGCAGAUGAAUUGGAGUUUUCAGAAGAUUGCCUCCGAACACCAACUUCCCGUUUAAUAGCACCAACAGAAGCAGAUGGUCUGGAAUCUGGAGAUGGCACAUGAACAGGAUCUGUGGAAGAAGAAUACAACCCAACAACAGAAUUGCUCGACACCACCACUGCAGAGUGUGGCUGGGAAUUGCUUGGCUUCACUGCUUGCACCCGCAAAGCUGCAGUUGGAAGAGUAACUCGCUUCUCCACCAAUGUCUCUUUUCUUAAAGAACCAGUUGCAUUAGCAUCACUGGUUCUAAUUUGAGGAUCAGUUUGCCCAUUUGAUACUUGAGAUGAAUUCUGUCUGCUAGAUGGCUUUUGACUACUUGAACUUCCUGUUGGGCUGACAGCAGGCCGAAACAAUCAUCAUAAAUCAACACAUUAAUUACACGGCUAAAACAAACACAUAUUGUUCAAAACUAUUAAAAAAUUAAACGCAGGAAAGAUUCUUGUUUAAACAACUGAAGUACUAAAUACAAACCAACUGCUGAAACUUAAGGCCUUCUCAGUUUUCUCUGGGUUGCUACUUUGCGUAAUAAAUACCCAUAUUUACUGAUGUCAUUUUAUCCCGCAAUAAGAAGAAAUAAUAAUACCCCUCCUUACUUCCGUGUGUCAUUUUACGCCCCAGCAAGAAGAAGAAGAAGAAAAAAGGAGGGGGGAAAAAAAUCCACCAUAAGAUCCCUAAAGUCUGUAUCGUCUUUGUCAUUUCCACUUACAUCAAAUCCUAAACGGCCAAGCUUCAUCAGGUGAGAAGAUUUCAUUACUUCGAAUGCUACCAGUUCUCCUUUUCUUGAUAUCUCAGUUUCUAUUUUUCAAUGUGUGACAAUACACCCAAGAGAUCUCUAUAUCAAACAAAACUCUAACUGCUGCUACUGUUUUUUAAAAUACAACAAGAUGGGGGUGAUUAUUCAUCCCAAAGACUAAAAUAUAGGUAUACAUAUAAUAGACACACAAGGUAAAAAGCAUAGCAGAACAUACCCCUUUCCAGAAAUAUUUGACACUUGCUCAUUGGUGGAUGUUGUACAUUGUGGUGAAUCAGGCUUGGUUUCUCUAUUGAUAUUUCGGUUAACUCUGUUGUCUCUCACAACACGAAACUCUCUGCUGAUUCCUGUACCUAGUAAGAUUAUAUCAUCACCAAGUAAUUCAAAGGAACAUUACAGAGGAGAGUAACAUAGCCAGCAACACUGCAACAAAAUUCUUCGGAAAUACAUCAUGCAAAAAGUUUUCGAAAUGAAAUCAACACAGUAAACAUGGCUAUAUAAAGUUAACAUUAGUAGUAUCAGCCGUUGUUUUGGGAUUGUUUUCAAAAACAGGGAGCCUGUGCUUUUAAGGAAGCACAUAAGCGUGUGUUUGUUAAAUUCUUGCCCAGGUGCUUUCUACUUGUAAUAGGUGCUUUUUAAUUAUAUCAGGCGAUUCUGUUCAAAAGCCACUGAUGCUUUUGGUUUUUUAUUAGACAUUUACACCCACCUUUAUAAUACACCAAAACAAUCAACAUGCAUUCCUGAUUGCUCGGUUCAUUUGGUAAUGUUUAAUUCCACAACACUUCUAUCACAAAAUUUACGAAACUAUAGAAUUUACCAAACACUCAACUGGUGCUUCUGCUUAAUUUAAGUAGCUUUUAUAUGAUAUUAACAAAACACUUGUUCACUGGAUUUAUACUAAAGCUUCUUUAGAAUCUUUUUAAAAAGCCACAGAACCCCAAAAGAAGCCCUUGAAUUACAAGUCGACGAAACAGGGACCAGGUUGACAGUAAAAAGGUGACUUGGCCUUGUCCUCGACCUGAAACCAGAAUUAGUUCUAGCUUCACUCUCUAACUUCCUUACAAACUCUGGGCCUACGGAGUCCAUCCCACCAUCCCCCAAGCACCCCAUUUAACAUUAGAAAUCAAGUGUUUCCCUCAAAAGACAAAACACCUUUUCCUGCAACAACUGCUUGGGAUACAGCAAGGCUUAUCAGAAUCAACAGUUCAGGCUCCACAUUACCCUCCAUAGCUGACAUCUCAGCAUUCAUCCCAUUUGUAACUGGAUUCCAUAUUGAGAGAAAUUGCAAGAAGGGAUGGUCAAGAAAGCAUUUACCACAGUAGCCAAUCCCCAUUGCCUCCUGCUUGCUAUUACAAAAUAAUAAUGCUUGUUGUUUUUGGAAGGAAUAUAGAAUUAACUUCUUAUUCAGUAAUGUCGAAGGGACCACUGUAAUUGGUACCAUGAACCACGCCAUUUCAUCUUCUCACAGACCAGCAUAGUCCCAUCUGUCACUCUUCACAAACACUACUUUCUCCAGCUUUGAAAGAUUCAACUGACCCGCUGCCGUAACGUACGGGAAUCUUUUGUAUGCUCUCUGUUCAAGGCGAGACCAACUACCAUCGCAUAAGAGACAGCAAAUUUGUUAUCCAUUUUUAUAGUAUUGUACCUAGUUUUCCUAGUCACAUCUCUGAUUAUGUUUCUCUGAGAUUGUUGAAAUGUAUUACGCUCUCCAGCCAGAAUUGCAUUCAUUAAUUUCACAGCAUUUAAGUUUCGUCGCAUCAUUACCUCUUGGAAAUAUGAUAUAGUAUCUAUUACGCAUCUAAUAUCACUACUUCCAGCUACUAGGCUCUUUUAUUCAAGUCUUUUCCAGUUUCGAAUCAUUAACUUGAAGCUCUCUAAUCCUUAUCUCCGCUUCUCUCAAACUUUCCUUCAACUCCUAAGCCAUUCCUAAAACUACAUUUAUCAAAAAACUUCACAAUCCAUUUAUUUCAGUAAUCUUACUAGAUACUCUCAACGAUUCUUGAUCCACUUGCAACAUGAAAACCUUAUGCUGCGCUUCAUAGUCACUGUAUAGUUUGUGGUUCCCCAAUCCCUUACGCUUUGGGAAUAUAAGAAGCAUAAAACCUAGAAAAAUAGACCCUGGACUUCCUAAAUCUAGAUACAGAUUUCCUUUCAGCCAAGUAAAGGGCCACUUGUUUUACAUUAGUUAAAUCACACAAUGUUCCAAUACAUAGCCCACCAAUCCAUCAUGCAUCCAUAUUCUUCAAUACUUACUUUUUUAUAGGAAAUAUAGAAAAAACCUAUUCAUAGCUUAAUUAAAUUUACAUUAAAGGUGAAAAGGUGUUGCACUAAACAAAAACAUCCAAAUAGAGCACAUUAGCAACUCAAGAAACCAAUACAACAAAAUUCCACAAAGCAGUAACUAACUUCCCAGAAGAAAAAAAAACAAUGUUUCUUGAUGAACAAUGAGGCAUAAGACUGCACACAUUUUUUUAAAUGUAAUGAACCCAGUUGACACCAGAUAACAAACGCGAUAAAGUAUUGGUCAAAGCCAUUUCAAGAAUUUAUCUUUCUUUACCAACUAGGUACAUGAACUCAAAUAGCAGGGUUGAACAAAGCAACCAAUUAAAAAAUAUUAGUAAAAAAGAAUAUAGCAGGAGAAAUAUAAACAAAAUUGUAAAUAAAUUCAGGCAUAAAUGAAUUACCAGUUACACCACUGCGAGCAUAACCUCCUCUUCUAACAUUACGAUCAGCAGAUGUAUUUGAUUUCGGUCCUUGACCUGCACUCUCAAAAUGUCUUCUUGGCUCCACAGAAACCGUGUGCCCCAUACUCUGAAGCUACAAAUACACUAAAGCAGUAAAACUUUUGCUUUAUAAUAAGUUCCCCUUGCAACAAUUUAAAAUGAUUUAACAUUAAAAAAGUUACAAUAAUAUUAAUUGCAAAUAAGAACUUAGGGAGUCCUACAACUUUAUGACUCUCUCCAAAUAAUUAAACUACAAAUGAGAAAUCAUAUAACGAUAACUUUUGCACAAUGUGAUCAUUCGAAAGCAUUUACAAUUUAUCUAAAAUUCAAGUGAAGUCCACUAACAAGCUCAGUUAGGAGCACCAAGAAGUUUCUCGAAGAAUUGAAACACACAUUGUUGAAUUACUCCAGAGUUCAUUAAUUGAUUACCAAGGCUCAUCAUAUCACAAUCGAUUAAUUGGUUGCAUUUUUAUGGUGGGCCAUUGAUUCCACAAAACAUAAAUUCCUUGAUAAGAGCAUACGCUAGUUACUGAAUUUCUGGGGAUCAUUAUGCCAAGAAGACUGUGAAUUUAAUAAGUCAAAUAAAAACCAGUAGAUUAGCGGUACAGUAGUGUGUCUCUGUCACUAUUGACUGAUGACUUGUAUUAUUCAGGAAGCCAAAACACCAAAAGUAUAAAACCACCCAUGCAUGUCUCGGUAGUCUAAAAAGCUCAUUACACCCUUAUUUUGAAAAGACUUAAGAUCUUCAUACAGAACAAGAAACUACUGUCCAGUUGUUCACAUGUAUGAUGUUAAGAUAUAAUGUCACGUAAAGCUAAAGGUGGGAAAAGAAUGAUCCACAAAGAAAAUAAAUGAUAAUUCAAAGCCAAACCAAAACUUACAUUAGAGGAUACCUCCUUCCUUUUAUCUCUUUUUCUCUUCACCAAAUGAAAUGGGUCUGAAUAAAAAACAAGUGAGAAUAAUCAUAGUAAGAAAACUGCACUAAUAUAUAGUACAAGAAAACUGCAAGCAAAAAAGGUAUAACACAAUCAACGAAGAAAAUUUGUGUUGACAGGUUCUACAAAAAUAAAGCAAAACUAAUACAAUUUCCAAAACAGUCUCAAAAGUGUAAUGCAAGCAUAUAAAUAUGUACGUAUAAUAAAGCUAAAGAGAAACUUUUAAUGGGAGGAGAUUCUCAAAAAGCAACAUUAGAAGCCACCAAAAAUCAAAAUCUUAGUUGACCUAUCUAUGGGUUUCAGCAAAGCAAAGUACCAACUCCAUGAGAAAAUAAUCACAACUGAAAGAGAUACUAGUAUAAUGAAGGAAUAAACGCCUAGGAGAUUGAAAACCACUACUUCUUUCCAAAAAGUUAUUGGUUUACCACUCCCAGUCACUAAAAUUCAGCCUGAAAACUAAACUGUUCAAUGAUUAGGCUCAUGAAACUGAGCUCAAGAUGAAAUUUUUAGACUGGCAUAACCUCAAUAACACAAACAUUAGUUCUACAUUCCACAAAACAACUCACAAACUAGAUACUUAACUAAAAUAACCCAAACCGUUGACAAUUUAAACUCGGUAGAAAGCAAAAUAAAAGCCUCAGUGAGCACCACGUAACCUCUCAAUAAGGAAAAUACCAACCUCAAAAAUAACAAAAACAAACAAAACCCAAAACAUGGCAAAAAAAGCCACCGCACAAAGCCACGGAGCUACAAAACUAUGCAUCACAGAGUCAAAGGCAGAUACCUUGGUUCAGCAAUUUCUGGGCGGUUUCAUUAGGAUCCAUGUCGGUUUCUUUGAGAGCCCAAUAAAUAUCAAUAUCGGAGUGAUUACGCACUAUUUCUUUGAUGGAUUGAAUGGUUUUUCUCACUCCCGCAGAGAUUAUCUGAGUCCCACCUUCGAUUCGCGAACCAGAGACCAUCUCUAAACUCUACUUCGUCCCAAAUUAAAAUUCAAAACAAAAAAGGGAAAAAUAGAAAAACCCAAAUAUUAUAUGAUAAAUAUACGUUAUAUAAUGCAAUAUUUAUAGGGAAUCAAAACCCUAAUGUAGCAGAGGGCGGGAGAGAGAAGCCAGGGCUAGGGUUUUGUGAGCAUCCGAUGAGAAAAGGGAGAGAGUGAAAGAGAGGGUUUUGAAAACGUUUUACCACUCAAAGACUUCAAAAUCCUGAAAUUUUGAGAUUUGAAGGAGUUGCCCUUGAUGUUUAGGUUAAAUUACGAGACAGCCGACUGUACGGCUUGGAAUUUAAACCCCAAUUUUCCUUCUAAGUUAUCCCACUACACUAGUGGCUGGGUCGUGGUGUUAACUAAUUUAAAAUUUUGCAUUAAUUAAUUCUCUAUUAUUGUUAGAAUAAAUUACAAAUUUGGUUUGUAUAAUUUUAGGUAUUGUCUCUGUAGUUUUAAAUUUGCACAUUGUAUUUAGCAGUCGGUAAAAAAGGUCUGAAUCGUUCAAAUAGGUUACACCAAAAAGUGUAACUUUGGCAGACACAGUUAGUUGACCAAGGCACUAACUCAAGUUGUAAAGAGCAUUUAUCUCUGCACACGAGGUCUUAUAUUUGAUUUUCCUUUCUCCCAAUAUAUCUUGUAUCUAUAUAGUUAUUUAACAAUUACUUGUGCCACACUCACAUAUUUUGGGCUAGGCCUGUUUGGGAGUGCUUUUAAAAGGGUUAAGUGCUUCUAAUAGCGUUUGAUGAACAAAUAAGGAAGUGCUUAUGGAUUAUAGAAGCACUUUUUGACGAACCUAAGUGUUUUUGGCUUUUUCAAAUAGCACUUGGAUUUCUCAAUCCUAUUAUGAUAAAAACGUCGUUUAGUUUUGGAUUAACUUCAGGGAUAUAUUGACACACAAGCUUUAUAAUUACACAUGCACAUGGGUGGCACCAAAGUGAAAAAGUGGGCAAACUCUCCCCCUCCGCCUCCUCCCCCCGAAAAAAAGUGUAUCUGGGUUUGAUUCACCUAGGAAGACAACCUUAGAGCAUUUCCGCCCAUUUGCAAUGGCAAAAUACAAGGGGAGGCAAGGGGAGUUAUUAUUCACGUUAAUAUUGAUUGCCCUAUGAUGCAUUCUCACCCAUUGUCAUGACAACUUAAGGGCAACCACUAUUCACAUGAGAUAUGAUGAGAGGAAUUUAUAUGAAGUUUUGGUAUGGGAAGUAAAGAACAUGGCUUUUUUUUUUUUUCCUUUUUUUUCAAAUUUCUUUAUAUUUAAAUUGACCGUUGACGUCAACUUACAUGGGCAGCAGCCCACCAGACAAGUCUUGUCUUUGGGUGUGCCCGGGCUUGGUUGGGCCCAGCUUUUGCCAGGGCUAGAUGGCACUGCUGGGAUGGGUUUUGGGAGACCAGGGGGGCCUUUUGCCUGAGCAAACCCUUUCAUUGGAAGUGUUCUUAAGUCAACCCAAUAUAAUACUCCUCAUCCCUUCCAUAGUGAAUGAACCCAAAAAAAAAAAAAACUUUAUUAUUACAUACAAUGAUGAGAGUUAUUUAUUUUUUAUAGUAAAUUUAGGGCCCGUUUGGUAAUGUUUUUAGAGAGCAUUUUCAGAGAAUGUUUUCAUAGAAUGAAAACGCAUUUUCAAAGAACAAAAACUCGUCUGGUAGCUUAGUUGAAAACUGUUCUCAGAGAACAAAAACAGUGAAAACGCGUCUGGCAGAAAUAUGUGAAAAUGACAAAAACAAUGAAUAUGUAACUUUAAUUAAAAUGCAUUAUGCUUUUUUAAUACAACAUUAUGUAAUCAAUAUGUGAGUUUCAAAAAAAAAUUAGUACGUAUAUUAUUUUUAAAAAGUAUUUUUUUUAAUCAUCUAAAAGAAUAUCAUUUAAAAAUAGAAUAAAAUUCUAAAGUAUAAAACUAGAAUUAUCUUUUUUUUUAUUUAAAUUAAAAUGAAACCUCAACCCAACCUUAUCUUUCACUCUCUGCAAACCCACCCCAAUUCUAUCACUUCCCUCUAUCUCUCUCUCUCCCUUCCCCUCUAGAUACCUCUCUCAUUCUCUCUCUCUCUCUCUUCAAAAUUGAAGAAUCAGACCAACCCCCAUCUUUUCCACUUUCUCUUCAUGCUGCUGCACCCUCUCUCUGUCUCUCUCUCAAUGCAACCUCAUCUUCCAAUAGCUUCCCAGCUCCUUUUCCUUUUCUUGGACUGAAAAUUGAUUCGGCAAUUACUUGUUCAAUGAUGGUGGUUCAAUUCAAUUGUGUAGAGAUUCUGUUAGGUUUGAUUGAGUGGCAGUGAUGUCAAUCUAGUUCGAUGGGGCGAUGGUGAUUUUGAUUGGGUGAUUGUGGUGGUUUAAGCUCUGCGUGUGGUUCUCUGCUGCCAACUUUUGACGCUGGUUUUGGUCUGACGGGGAGAGAAGAUUGAGCCAGAGAAGCAACAUGUUUUCAGAGUUUGUUUCCUGUGAGAAUGAAAACAGUUUUUUUUCUGUUUUCUACAAGUAGACGUGAAGUUGUUCUUGUUUUCAUAAAACGUUCUCCCUGUUCUUUGUUUUUGCCCACCGAACAGGUUUUCUGUUUGUUUUUGUUCUCUCAAAAUGAAAAUGGGCUCUCAAAACAUAAACGAACGGGGCCUUAGGUUUUAGCAAAAAACAAACUUUUACUUUUGAAAAAAGCUAAAGAUUUUUCAAAAAAGACAGAAAAACCUUUCAAUUUUCAAACCAAAGACAUGCAAAUGUAAAGGAUUCCUUAGGAAAUCCAAAAAUAAAUAAGGGCAAUUUUGUCUAUUUUGGCUUCUUUUAAAAAAUUUCUCCCUCUUUUAGCCUUUUCCAAAGUUCUUUUUUUUUUUUAAUAACAAAAAUAUUUUAAGGUACAUUUAACUUGAUGAGAGUUAGAAUUAGAAUAAAUAAAUUGAGGUCCAUGCAACGAAUCGAAUUUAUGAACCAAUUUGGAAGUAAAACAAUGUGUGAUUAUUACUAUGUACUAGUCUUAUUUUCUCUUUUUCAAAUUAUUUUAUUCAAUACGUUUAAGGUGAAUAUUUAGUAUUUUAUAUAAGAAUGAGUAAAGUUAUGUUUAUUUGCAUAAAUAUAUUGUUAUUGUAAUCAAUGAGUUUUCUUUUUAUCGCAUAAUAACUUAAUUUCCAAUGUUGAGAAGAAGAAAAAAAACUUAUGGCAUUUUGGUGUUUCUAGCAUUGCACCGUAUUUUAUUAACUAUAGAACCACUACGAAAGAAAAAAAAAUACAUAGAAAAUUUUCUUUUGGACCUAAUGCUAAAUCCAUACACAACACUAAAUUCGCUCAAUUCACUUAGAAGUGAGGAUAAAGGAUUUUGAAGUGAUGAGACUUUAAAGUGAUGAGAUUUUGAAAGUGAGGGAAUGAGAUUUUAAAGUGCAUAACUACAAAGUGAUAAGAUUAGUAAAGUGGCAAAUUAUUUUGUUGGUGGGAUUUGUUUUGGUGUUUGCUACAUUACUUUUAUAUCAUUCAGAAAACAAGAAUCUAGACAUAUGAAUGUUUCUGUACUUUUUGGACAAUCAUUUGAUUCUACACAAAAUUAUGUAAUCCCUCAACAAACCUAUAGAUUAAAAUAAUUAAAAUAAAAUAAAAAUAUAUUCCAUAUUGGUUCUCAUUUCUCAUUGAAUCAUGACUUCUUUUUAACAAAAUACGAACUAGAAUAAGAAAAACUUAUCAAUGUAACAGUCCGUGACCAAAUAACAUGAAAACCCAUUUUCUUGGAGCAGUUUUUAGUGGCAUAGGUUAUGAAUGGAUGGGUCUAAAGAUUGUUUCUUUUUAAGAGAUAAGAAAUCAACUUGUUUUGAGGUCUGAUCGAGAGAAAUUUUUAGAUGACCGUAAUAUUGUCACGUUGUAUUAUUAAUUUAUUUACAUUAUAACACAUGUAUAUUUUAUUUAAAAUAUAAACCGGUCUCACCCAUAGAUUUGAUUUAGUAACACCAGAUAGUAGUAUUACGAUGACACGUCGAAUCUACAACUAAUGAAUAGUUGAAUAAAAAGACCAUUAUACCCAUGACCCAUUGUUAUAAUGCUUGCAGUAUUAUUGAGCGGAAAGGGUUCUACUAGUCACUAUUAGUGCAACACAGAAAAAUUAGCAAUUUCCUAGCCAAAUUUUGAGCAAAAAUAGGUAAGUAUUAGUUCCAAUCUCAAUUUAAUUAGGUUGGUAUUUGGCAAGUAAGACUUGUACACCAUCGUAUUAUGUAAGGUGGCUUGCAUAUUUUUUUGUUGAAUUAAACUUUAAUUUCUUAGAAAAUACUCGUUAAAAGAAAUUAUUUAAACAAUGUGUUACUGUAAUUUUUUAUUUUUUAUUUAUAAAAUAUUUGCGGACUUAGAAUUUAGAAAAUAUUGUUGUUUUCUCUAAAGAACAACCAAAGAAGCUUUAAAAACAAGGCUGAUUGCUAAUCCAAUUCCUGGUUAGAUAUUGGUUUAUUUUAUUUUUGGAAAGGCAGUCUAAUUAAUGCAUGCAAAACUCAAAGCAUGUAGGUCUUUUGAACCUUUAAAACAACCCUAUUUCCUAAUUGGAAAACAAAACUUAUUAUAAUUAGUAGCCCCUUUGGGAAUAUUAUAUAUACUAGGCCCUACUAUCAUAUAUAGUUAUUGCUAUUAGGAUCACUUUGUUCUAGAGCCCGAGAGCUUUAGCGACUUUGCCAUCUUUCUGGUUUCUUCUUCAUUGUUUCGUGAACAAUAAGAACAUGCUUGUUAAUACUCUACAUUGCUUCAUCUCAGUUGAUUGGUUUGGUGUAUAGCCAAAGAAUAUUUGAUGUUUUCAAGUAUGGUGCUGUUGGAGAUGGAAGAACUGAUGAUUCCAAGGUAAUUAACUUAUCGUAACAAAUGCGUCUAGUUUUUUCGAGUAAUGUUCAUUUGUUAGAUUAGCUUGAUGUGUUAAUAUUAUCAAACUUUGAAUUUUAAACCACAUAGUCAUACAGGCUUUUGUAACAGCUCGGGGAGAGUUAUGUGGAGCAGUUGAUGAAGCCAAUUGUGAGAAUGUGAAGAUAAAAAGUCCCACAUUAGAAAAUUGAGAAACCUAGCAAGGGCUUAUAAGGAGUUGGGUUACUCCCCCCAUUGCCAAUUGGUUUUGGGAUGGAACCUCAACUUCCUUCAUGGUAUCAGAGCCACGUUACCCACGUGUGAAAGCCCAACGGCCACACGUGCUCCACGUCACCCAAUAUGUGUUGUACACGUGUUAGGCUUGAAAAUUCACCACACGUGCAGGGGCAUUCACCACACGUGCGGGGGCGUGUAAGAAUGUAAAUGUAAAAAGUCCCACAUUGGAAAGUUGAAAAACCUAACAAGAGCUUAUAAGAAGUUAAGUUACUCCCCCCAUUGCCAAUUAAUUUUGGAGUGAAACCAAUCAAGACAUGGCAGGAGCUGGGCAAACUGGUGGCACCCAAAACGAUGGAUACAUGGAAAGGGUGUGAUGAUUGGCUCCAAUUUUUGAAUGUGGGCAAUCUCUUGAUCGAUGGUUCAGGAGAAAAUGACGGCGAUGACUGUAUAGCCAUCAAUGGUGGCUGCUCCGAUCUCAAUAUCGCCAACAUCGAGUGCGGGCCAGGCCAUGGUAUAAGGUACGUAGUCCUUAACACAAAUCCUUAUUGAAAAAGUUUCGCUUAUAAUAUCAUAUUAACUUAAAAUUUUAUUCUGCAAGGGCGGAUCGGGGUAUGCUAGGAACAUAACCUUUGAGAAGAUCACACUCGAUGCAACUAAAAAUCCUAUCAUCAUUGACCAGUUUUAUUGUGACCGUGAUCACGACUGCAAAAGUCAGCCCUCGGCUUUGUCGGUGGAUUAUGUGAAGUACAUUGAUUUUGAAGGAACUUCUGCGAGUGAGGAGGCGAUCAAGUUAGAUUGUGACCAGAAUUCAGGUUGCCACAACAUUAUAAUGGACUGCAUCAAUAUCACUUCUGCGGUUCUUGGCAAGAAGAUUUAUGCCUCCUGCAAUAAUGAUAUUGGAACUUCCCUUGGCACUACAAUGUACCUUGCCUCAAGUCGGGACAAACCAACUACUUCUCUGUCAGCUACGCCUCCAUCAGCUCCGCCUUUGCCCGUUACGCCUCCGCCAUCUCCGCCUGUGCUGACUACACCUCCAAUAGCUCUGAUUUUUCCACCUCCGCCCUUGCCAGUUACGCCUCCGCCAGCUCUGCCCCUGUCAGAUAAGCCUCCACCUCCGCCAUCUCCGCCUCUCUCUCUCUCUGCCUCUACCUCCGCCAUCUUCACCUAUGCCGGCAACUACGCCUCCACCAUUUCCUCCUUCACCAGCUCUGCCAGCAACAGCACAAAUGUCCUUCACAGGGGAACCAGGAGUGGCAGAUAUGUACUUCACAUCUGGAGCUACUAAACUACAUAAGAAACACUAUAUUUGGUAUCAAUUAGCGAUCGUGUAUGUGUUACAGAAACUACUGUUUGAGAUAUUUGGGUAAACGAAUCGCUUUCACUUGUUGUAAAUAUAGAAAUUUUUUUAUUCUUUUCACUACUUGUAAUCACCAACAAUUAGAUAACUUCCAAAAGUACUAAAAAAAUAAUUAUAGACCUAUCUAAGAAUUUCAUCCAAAAAAGAGUUACUGUAAGCUACUGAUGUAAAUACUUGUCAACUGAGUUAUGUAAGCCUCAAGUUAUCAUUUUCUUCAUCAUUGUACUUGUCAAUUCUCAAAAUUCCUCACCACUACCUUUUCAAUAACAAAUUGUGAUUAUCAGUCAGAUCGUUAAAUAAUGCAAUGCUUCCAAUAACCAGGAAAUGUAAAAAGACAACUCCCUCCGUACAGUUUUUUUCCGAAAUCGAUAGUAAAAUCUUGUGAUAAAUUAAUAUAGAAAAUUGAAUCAAAGGAUAUUUCCAGAAGGAUCGAAACAUUUGACACAAGUAACAAAUUUUCUUCAUUAUAUCAUUUUGCUCACGCCAUUCAAAUUCAAAUAAAUUCUUCACACAAAAAAAUAAAAAAAAAAAUCAGAAAAAUUCUCAGCACUAGAAUUUAGUCACGGUGGAGACGUGCUAUGAAAGAUACUAGAAUUUCAAUCGUACUACUAGUUCAAUUCGCUUUCCCUUGAUUUUCUCAGCAACAGCAACGAAACGCAAAUAAACAGUUGAAAGACAAUUUCACAUAGCAAAUUAAAUCAACAAGACGAGAAGGUAAUCGAGACAGGCAGAGUAGACUCACCAGAAUCUUGCCAGUGAAACAGACGGUGAGGACGACGUCUGAGUUGGAAGAGAAUCGAGAUCCAUCUUUCAAAUGGCCAUCGCUUUCUGUACUUGGAUCCAGAGGCACGAGAUCGGGACACGUGGUGAAGUGGAGGUAGCCGGAGGAGGAAGUGGACCUCCCACUGCUCUCUCUCUCUCUCUCUCUCUAAAUUAUAAUGGCGCUCCGCCACUGCUCGCAUGGUGCAGCCAGAGCCCCCGCCAAUUCUUUCAGGCUAUUUCUCUUUCUUUUCCGUUUCUUCUUUCCGCCUUGGUUUGGGUCCAUGGCAGCAACGAAAUUCGAAAUUUCAGACUGGAGGGGAAAUCAAGUAAGAAAACAAAGAAUGAAUUUAUAUGAACAGACGGACAGUUGUCGCUGUGUGAUUGGUAUAUUGCUAGACCAGGGUCGUCACAUCUCGCGCCUUUUCUUUUUUUUUUUUUUUUUGCCAAAAUUUUUGAGGGACUUUCAGAUGGGAUUUGGGGUAUGUGGAAUUUGAAAGUCCCAUAUGGUCAGAGUAACAUGUUUGGCAAAUUUUAAAACAGAAUUUGAGAAAUUCCAGGAACUUUAAAGACUACUCCGGUUUUGUCCUAUGUGGUUUUCUUCGGGAAGAUUAUAACGAGGCCACAGUUUACAUGUCAACGCUAUUUUGUUAUCCUUCCUAUUGAUUGAAUGAAAUCCAUGCUUGGGAGGUGAAAGUCCCAGGACUAAAAUGAGCAUUCGGCCUUUCUGUUUGCACUAAUGUUUAUUUAUUUAUUUGGCCUAAAAUCAAUUUAUUUAUCUACAUUUUUAUGGAAGUAUAAACCCAUCAAUUUAUGAUGCUUAGAGGAUGAUAAAGGAAGAAACUUCAUUUUGCUUUUAGGAGGGGGGAAGUGAAUGACAACUCUUCAAGAAAGCCACACACUAAUUUCAAGCAAAUGUAAUAGCCUGUUGAUAGGAGCACAAAACAUGAAUACUUUUUACCAACCAAGAACAUUGCAUUUCAGAUUAAGAAACUGAGAGCAGUUUACAUUUUGAGUAAAAUGAAAAGUAUAUGUCCACUAUAGAUCAAAUUUCAUUCUUGUAAACAUUUCUCAAUAUCCCCAUUUUAUGCACCCAUUUACCAAAUUCCCAUGAAACCAACAACAUUAUCCACCCGAAAUUGAAAAAAGAAAUUCCAGAAUUCACAGAGAUAUAUUUAACCUAAGUUAAUAACUGGGGCACAGUCGAUAAAUGAAAGCUUUGUUGAGGAGAUUGAGCCUAAGAACAUACAGCUGUUUAAUGUAAUUUUCAAGAGGAAAUGCAAUUUCCAUGAGCCACCACCAUCUGAAAGAUGUGCUAACUUCCAAGUCAUAAGUACUGCUCUUGAAUCCUUGCCCUAUUCUCUUCCCACCACAAUCUGGCAUGCAUUUCACCAAACUUUUCCCGGCUGCAUAAGCAAAGGAUACAGAAAAUAAGUUUCAUAUUCAAGCCAAUUUGACCAGUGCAAAAGAUAAAUUGGUAUACUUGAAAAGCCUCACUUCAUUGUGGAAUUAAGGUCCAACUUUGCAAGUCAAACAAAAAAAAUAACAGUAAAAGAACAGGAAGGCUUUGGUUUGCAUGUGAUACCAUCCAUAGGGAAAUGGUGUCACAAUCCACACUUCACCGGAAUGUAAAAAAGAAAACUACAAAAUGUACUGACCCGGUCUAUGUUCUCACUAUUUCAGACAGCAGUGGAGAACAAAACAAUCACUAUUGCCACAAGCAAGGCAGUGCAAAAUACAACUUAGCAAAAAUCAACUCAAAAUAACUAUUCACAAUAUAGAAACCUAGUUACCUGAACCGGACACGUCUAAGCUCCCUAGUGCCACCUGGCAAUGCUCUUAUAGUGAUGUACACUCCUGGUUCGUCCUGUUCAACCCACUCAGUCUCCAUAUCACUAGCGUUGCUAACUGAAAACUCUCCUGAGCGAUCUGCCUCUGAACUAGUCCUUACAGAACCAUCUAUUGAUGAUGAUUCAUUCACCCCACUGAUGCUGGAAAGUUUAGGUGUUGAAGCUAGACCACUGGUGUCACAGAAAGGACGGGAUUGCAUUGGAUGGUGGUCAAGUGAAUCGGAUGAAGAGUACCCCAUUCCCAUUGGUCUGUGGAAGUUGCGCGGCAAGCGCUCUUUGCUCAGUGGGGGAGUCACAGGACUUUCCCUAGCAGAUUCAACCUUUGAGUUCUGGAAGAGGGGGAAGAAAAAAAGUACUUUUAAACAUUAGAAAUGUACAUCAUCAACGCUAGAAUGUGAUUCCAAUCAUACAAAAUUGAUCACCAAAGUUGAUGUUGUUAGGAUAGCAAGGUAAUUCAUGAAUCAAAGUAACUUAGUGAGAAAGAAAGGGAUGGAGGUAGGCAACAUAUUAUAACUAAAUUGAUCUGAGAUACAACAGAUAACAAAAUGUUCCAUAUUACAACCUUGGCUGGUGAUAAAAAAUGUCUCAACCUCAUGCCCAAAUUACGACAGAUGAAGUUCUCUGGUUGAUCCUUCUAGAAUCAAUAAUGCAUACUUGAUAAAUAAAAUUUAUCUGACCUUUACUUACCUUUGGUUACCAACAUCAAGAAAAUAUUUGCAUAAUUACAUUGGGGAUGAGCUCACCUCGUCUUCAGAUCUAGGUGGAGUUGGAAGUGGGACUGCUUGGUGAUUGAACCUUUGGACAUUGUACAGUUCCAUGACCUUGUCAUAAUUUUCUGCCCACCACCUUUGAGCUUGCCAUUUGUUAAACAUUUCACGACUGAUCAAAUUUACAAGACAGUGAUUAGUAGAUUUAGUAAAUUCACAACAUGAUCAACAAGAACAAGAUAAACAAGUAGGGCAUAUAUCACAGGGUGAAUAAGAGUUCACUCAAGCAAACAGAACUUUGGGAUAAGCACCAAAUCCUGCUGAUUAUGACCGCGGAACAAGACUGAUCAAGAUGUCAACAUAUAAUUAGAGGACAUUGAUUCAAGACUGGGACUAUUCUUUUGCUGAUUUGGAACUCUUACUUGUCACCUAACAAAUAGUUAAUAGUAUAUCUGUACAGGACAUAAGUUCACAUAAUGUUUGUCCCCUAACAAAUAGUUAAUAGUAUAUCUGUACAGGACAUAAGUUCACAUAAUGUGGAGCUACUGUACGUCUAUUUCUUUAUAAAGGCGAGAUAUUCAUAUGAGUUGCUUUUAACCACUUUGUAAUCACUAGCAAAACUUAAUGGAAAUUAAACAACGCUAUAGACAUGUAGGCCUCCCCCAUAUUUAAGACCCAUACAAAGUGUGUUACAAUUCUAAAGUCUCAUCAAUGAAGUCUUUCUCUCUUUGACACACACCACAUCCAACACUCGGGUUAGCACGGAACGAUCUCAUAGAAUGGAUUAAUAUACACUGGUAUUAUGUUUGGCGUGAUGUUAAGUCAUUGAAUACACCAUGAGUAAAGCUACCCAUGAAAGGAGAGAGUACCACCAGAUAAGUGUCAAUAGGGUGGGCUGAUGAUGAGGACGUCAGGUCUUGGGAAUAUGGUAGAAUGUUAAGAUCCUAAAAACAAAAUAAAACUCUUUGACAGCUCAAACCGUUGAAGAGUAUCAGCUGGUUCUUAAUCUAGGGCCACCUACCACACAAAUGAGUGAGAAAUGACAGUUCACAUGCAACUUACCUGCUACAAUCCCACACUCUCAUUAUGUUGUUAAAAGUCCAACUACAAUGGACAAUGUGACGAUAGACCAACCCCAAUCAACAUUCCCAUACUAAAAACAAGUAGUCACAUUCAAAGAAUCAGAAGCUAUACUUCCAGAUCAAGAACAAACAGAAAAAGAUCAAAACACAAUGGACAAAAAGAUACAGUGGUUCAAACGGCAGCACCAUAGCAAAAGCAUGUGGUCACACAUUCACAUUCACACUCCACCAAAAUCAGAAUCUUCACCAUCAUAUCAACUCCAAACAAGAGAAAGUACCUGAACCGAAUACGCUUGAGAUCAUUUCCUCCUUGGGGCAAAGAAACAAAAGUGAUGAUCACACCAGGCUCCACUUGUGCCACCCAUUCUUUAGGCUCAUCUUCCUCCAUUAAAACAAUAGACUCCGUCCGUCCACUCACUGACGCCGGCGUCCCUUCCCCGCUGGAUAGGGCUUUAAGCCUACUGUCCAUCUCCUUCCCCCAUAGCCUGGGUGUCGAAUUCGAGCUCCCCAUUGUUCUCCGGUAUGAGUAGUGGAACCUCGCCGACUCCGAGUUGGUAUCGGAUUCAGCAUAGUUCCGGUUCCGGUUGUCAUUGCAGGACCGUGAACAUGGCUUGCAGUUUUUGUAGGCUCCUGAGGCCUUCAAUGCCAUGUCCUUGAUCUGAAAAAAGAUAAGUAGUUCUUAGAAAAUGCUGGAAAAAUAAAAUCUGGGUCUUACUUAUUCCAUGGUUUUGUUCACAGAACUGUGAAGUUUCAGCUGAAUUAAAUCUUUUACACUCCCACUGUUUUAUUUACAAAGAUUGAGAACAGAACAGAAACCUUACUCUCUGUUUGGUUCCUGAGAAAAUGAAGGGAGAAUUAGAGAAAAAAACAGGUUCUGGGUCUUUCUUAACACAUCACCCAAAUGUCAAUUAGGCUCAACAAAGCAAUAUUGAACUCCUUUUUUUUUUCUCUCUACAUUUUCUGUGAAACCAAACAGAAGUAUAAAAACUUACGAGUUACGAGAUUACCUGAGCAGUGAGAGCUUUGAUGGCUUGCUUGGUUCUAGGAGUCCCAGCCACGGCAUCGUCUUCGUCUUGUUGAUGGUGGAGAGAUCCAUUGUUGAGCUGCUUGGAGCAGGGUAUACAAGUAAGCAUCUCCGAUUCUCAAUCGAAAAAUAAAUGAAUAGAACAAGAAUUUGGAUCAGAUAGCCUCUGCCAAGUGCCAAGCUAGCCCCACUGAACAAUCACAGCCAACCCGAUAAGCAACAAGCUGAAGAUCUCGUUCUUCAGUGAAUUCAAUCCCACAGAACCUCCACAUGGAAAAAUGGCAAUACCUUAUGGGCUCUGGUUGGUACACUGAACAGAGUGAGAGAGAGAGAGAGAGAGAGAGAGAGAGGAUAGGAGGUGACCGUUAAUGAAGGAAAGAGGCCAAGGAAGGGUGUGUGUGAUAGUGGCGAUUUGCAAGGGUGUGUUUUCUUUUGGAUCCGAAUGACUUGUAAAGUUUAUACCUAUUACCUACAAAACAAAACCCCAUUCCCUUCUUAGAAGAAAGGCAAAAAGUCAUUUUCAUCUAUGCAUCACUUUAUAGUCCCCGUAGUUUUAAUUUUCUAAAUUUUAUCUAUAUAAUUUUAAAUUUUAGCAAUUUAUGAACGCUUUAAAGAUUUGUAAAAUCCUUCUAAUUUUGUUGUUAUGUCAAAUCUCAUGCUAAAAACGAAACAUAAUUAGAUUGAAUUUGACCGAAUUUGUACCAUGUUUCUAGAUUACUUGAACUUAAAAAUGUAUAAUAAAAUUGAAACUAUGAUGUCUAAAAUGAUAAAAUUGGCAAAUUGUGAUUUGUUGCCAUAAAACAAAUAUUAAAAUAAAUAAAAAUAGAGAAUGAGUAUCUGUCACUCUCUUUCUUUCUGUUUGCUUGAUUCUGGGGGUGUCUUGGGUACAUUGAGAUUUGGGCAAUGGCAAAUUGCAAAACUGGUGGUGAGGGCUCAAGCAGCAAUAAUAACAAUAAUAAUAAAAAUAAUAACAAUAAUAGAAUGAAAAUUAUUAUUAUUAUUAUUAUAGUAAUUAAUGUAGCCUAGCUGGCCCUAUGGGUGUGGGCCAUUGUGUGUGUCUGCGUCAUGCGUGCGCCCCCAGCGCCACCCUAAACGAGCGAAAAAGGUGGAAACCAGACGCUAGCGCUCUGACUCUCUCUCUCUCUCUCUCUCUCUCUCUCUCUCUCUCUCUCUCUCUCUCUCUCACGCCCUUGUCCUCGAGUUUUAUCACUUUUGCUACAUUUCCUACUCAUCUUUUUUUGGGAUACUUAUUUUAUUUUAUUUUUAUAAUUAAUACAAAUUGGAUUUUGCAAUAGCUCUUACAAGAUUUUAGCAAAUGAGAUGGCAAACAGGUUGAAGAUGAUUCAUCCGGAUAUUAUCUCGGGUAAUCAAAAUGCCUUUGUACCAGGAAGGCAAAUCCAAGAUAAUAUCCUUGUAGCUCACGAAGCCUUUCAUUAUUUAAAGAAGAAAAAAACUGGUGGUGUUUUUGAAGCGGGUAUAAAAAUUGACAUGAACAAAGCUUAUGAUCAUAUUAAGUGAGACUUUUUGUUUGUUCUUAUGGAAAAAAUGGGUUUUGCUAGUGAUUGGAUUCUCCUCAUCAAAGCAUGUCUCACUACAGUGUCUUUUGCUGUAAUUGUUAAGCGAACGAACCCUAAAUUAAUGUCCUAAAUUAAUGAGCUCUAAAUUAAUGUUUUUUUUCAUUAAGUUAGACCCUAUUGAUAUAGAGGGACAUUAUUAUUAGACCUUUUCAAUUUUUGGUGUAUGUAGGUUUGUAUGCAAUUUACGUGAGAGCAUUCAUUUGAAAAGUUAAUGCUCGUGAGCUAUAUAACUCGCAAAUAUCUAGCAAUUAUGACAAGAAUAAAUUUAGUCAUGACAUGAGAUGGGAUGGCAAGGAAUGUUUUGCAACAGUGGAUUGAUUUGUAAAGAAACAAUUACUCAUUUAGACCAUAUAAAGGUAUUGUCUGGGUGGGUGUGGUGCGGUUUGGGUCGGAUUAAGACCUAAACCGCUAAAUAUACUGUUGGUAUUAAGUUUAUCGAUGUUAAAUUCAUAAUCAAACACACUAUUAUUCGAUUAGUUUGUCCAUUUUGUUAACAGUCAGACACCUAAACAAUUUUUAAUUUGGUUGAUUUUUUUACACAUAUGAUCUUUAAAUAGGGCAUCAAAACACACAUUAGGAUGUCAAUUUAGAAUCUAAUUUAUGUCAAAAGUGAUAUUGUUUAGUACAUAGAGAUCAAUUCUUUUCUUGCCAACAAAAAUUGGUGUCUUCUUGAAAAAAGCAGAUGAUCAAAAGGAAGUGCUUAACGACCAAACUUCAACGAAAGCAAAUUUGAUUCUGUGUUUGGUCAAUAGUGAGCACGCUUGUAGAAAAGCAGUACGGAUAGAAAAUCCAUGCUAUAAUUUUGCAAGAUUCGUCUCACAACUCGCAAAUUACAACCACAAUGUCACGUGAGCCUAACACUUUCUUAAUCAACAAGUUUACAUUAAUUUAUUUAGAGAAAGAAAAGAAAAGAAAAGGUUCAAGUUUACCUUAUCACAUGUUGGGAGGACCCCAUUGGUCCUGUCUACCUGUCUUAAGGCUUAAGCUAAUUUGGAGAAAGAAAAAAAAAACAGAGCCUAAGCUAAUUUAAUAUUCUUCUUUUAAUCUUCUUCUCUAUUAAGGUGAAUAUAUGACGUAACGUUAAAAAGAAAAAUUCAGACAAAAUAAGUUUAUAGAACCCAACUUUUUUCUUAGUUUAUUUUCUCAUCUUGUUCGAGCCUCAUAUGAUGGUGAAAAUUUUGGAUAGAAACUUUCUAGUCACAGAAUAAGAUGGGUGACGUGUACAAGGAUAGAUUCAUAGUGGGGUCAAUGGGGUCAAACAACCCUAUGAACUCCAUGAAAAUAAGCUUGAAGGUCCCCUUAAGCUGAAUAUGCGACCCCAUAGAUGCCCUCCACUUGCUUGUUGUUUGGCCUGAACAAAAUGGCUGCUGCACAACGAAGACGUCGUUUUGGCCUAGCAAGUUUUUUUUAAAAAAUGAAUUGGCCAAAACGACGUCUUUUUAGCCCAAAUAAAUUUUUUUUAAUGACCUGAUCAAAACGACGUCGUUUUUGUCCAAGUCUUUUAAAAAAAAAAAUUAAAACAACCCCAGCUAUUCUAAAACCCCUCCACCCAUCCCAGCAACUCCCAAAACCCUAAUUCUUUUGUCCUGAACCCUAAAUCCCCAAUCAUUCCUCUCCCCCCCCCCCAAAAAAAAACCUUUAACCCCCAUCUCCUCCAUUGUUGGCGCCGCGUCCACCACCUCAUAAUUCAAGUAAAUUCUAACUCUAAGCCUAAAUUAAUAGAGUUGAAAUUAUGAUUUUAUUAUUUUGUUUUGAUUUAUUGGAUGUUUCAUUUAUGAAUUUUUUGUAGUUAAUUGGUAUAAAUUUGGUGUUUUCUUUAAUUGAUAUGAGUUAUUACUUUGAAAUAAAAUGGAAGAUCAAUAGUUGAGUGAUAAUUUGCUUGUUUACGUUGAGAAUGAUGUUUUGUGCUUGUAUUAAAAAUGAAGCUAUAAUGCUACGAUUUCAAAAUAUAAAACCUCGUCGUGGACAAUUGUAGCUUGUAAUGUUGUUUUUUUUAAUGUGGAUUAUGAAUGAACGUUUCAUUUCUAAUGUUAUUUUGAUUGAAAAAAAAUUUCGAACUUUUACACUAUAACCCUAUGAGGUAAGAUUUAUGAGUCUGUCCCUGGAUGUGUACUGUCCAGUUUAACAUAACUUGCAUUACAUAUUUUUUUGUAAUUUAGAUUUUGUAACACGUGUUAUGUUUUUAUGUCACUCAUCCCGACAUACGUGGUGUACAUAAACAAAAAUCAUUCAUGGUCUUCAUUAAUUAGGACACAUGCAGGAUGAAGCAAUGCUGGGAAGUUAUGAUGUUGUGUAGGAGCCCCCCAAAAACGACAUGCAUGUUCCCUUGUUGCCCUUUAAUGAUUCACGUCUCAAUUAUGUGUGCUCACAAUAUCAUGCAUGCUCUCAUAACUUUAACCUUCGACAAGUAUAACUGUGGAACAAAUUUCCGACAUGCACACCAUGCCAUCCAAAUAGGACUUCUCAUUUCCGAGAAACAUACAAUUCAACCAUACAAAUUCUAGGCUCCAUUUGGGAAAUUGUUACUUAUUAUUAUUAUUUAUUUUAUAAAAAAGUGAUAGUAUUUUAUUAAUAAGAUAAAUAAAAAUAAAUAUAAAGAAAUUAAGGUGCCAAAUAUGAAUAUAAUUUCUCUAAUUACCAAACGCAACAACAAGCUGAAUUGACCUGUAGAGAAUAUGCACAACCCAAAAAAUGAUUAAAAUUUCUGAAUUAGCAACUAAAAGCACAUGUACUCAAACCUGCAAUAAAAAUGAAGAAAUUAUAUCAAUAGUCCAUGAACUAUUAUUCGAGUCUUUUAAUCCAUGAAUUGGUUUUUUGAACUCUAUAUUUCUCGAACUUUUUCUUGUAUUUCACUUUUGUCAUUGCCGUCAAUUUUGUUAUUGUUUUUGUUAAAAUCGAUCUAGUGUAUUAGUUACUAAAUGUAGUCCGAAUAAUAUUAUUAUAUACAUACCCAUAAGUUUAUGUACCCCAAAUGAAAUGAUUCGUAACAUGCAAAUUUGUGGAGUUGAAGUCUAGAAGCCUAUGGCAUUGAGUGCAGAGAAAGCUCCAUUAUUGUGUUGUACAUGUGCUUUUCUUUAUGGUGACAACAAACCAACCGUGUUCCCCUUCCGAUGUGGAAAGUCCCUAUUGUUCCUCCACAAAAGAGGCUAGACUCGGAGUAUAAUAUGAUGCAGGGAAAAGUAGUUUUCCAACUAAGCCUAUUGUAGAGUGCCUUUCUGUCUCCUUGUAACCCAAGUUUUGGAUUGUUUGUGGUGGGAGAUAUAUAUAUAUAUAUAUAUAUGUAUUUUAUGCAGGCCUAACAACUUUAUGUGUUUGUGCUUUGUGGGCAACACUUUGUAUAUUUAAAUGGAAACAAUAUUGCAGGAUCAUAUAUAUGCUUUUCUUGCAUUGUGUGAGAGUGAGAUCAUAAAACACAAUGCAGAGUGGUAGCACAGAACCAGUCCUAAAAAGCACAAACAACAAGUGAACUUUUUGCUUUUUGCCUUCACAAAACUUGUAUUUUUUAUGUAAAGGAUAUGUAGUUCAAGUGGUUCAGAGCAUUUACUUUCGCACUCGCCCCCAUCCGAAAUUCUGGGUUCGAUUUUCUCCUCUCCCAAUAUCACUGGUAUGAAAAAGUAAAUGAAAAAAAUCCUUGCAUGUUUAUUUUAUUCUAUAAACCAAAAAGCAGUCUAUCAGGGCUUUGUAUUAAUUUGGGACAAGCAUAUAGCAGCCCAAAAGAAAGAAAGUGGAUUUAAUUAGUGCGUUCAAUAAUGGAUGAUUAAUUGGGUUAGGGCUUUUCAUAGUUGGUGAGAUUUUUUAUUUUGGGUUGGAAUUUGGGAGGCCUUUGUGCUGGGUUGAGCACAUCUCAUUGGACAAUGAAACUGGAUUGGAUCCUCCUGGCCUAUAUAAAGGGUCAGGCCUGUGUCACUGGACUUGUCGCUACUGAUUUAUUUUGCUAAUGGAUAUUUUUGAAGAUAGAUUUAUGUUUCUUGCUCAAUCCAAUCCAGAUUAAUUUGGAUUUUUCAAGUAUUAAAUGCAUCUUUGGAGAAAACAUCCUAUCUUCAAUGCUUACGCAAUGUCUUUAGAGGUAAUGGAAACUUCUAAUACGCAUGGAGAGAGUUAAUUAUUUCGAUUGUAUUGUUUUCUCCUUCCGUAUCUUUCUUUAUGUGACAUUCAAUUAUAUGCAAUUGAGAGAUACUUAAUUAAUCUAACUACGUAUCGCUUUCUAAUUCAUAUCAACAAACUACAAAUAAAAUAAAAACAUUGAUACAGACUAACUCUUGGUCCUUAUAGGUUAUGGGGAACACCACCAAUCCACCUCCUUCCAAGUUCCAAGGAAGUUUCUGCCUCCAUGUCUUACUUUCUUAAGCUGUCUAUUAAAAACUAACAAGAAUCAAUUAAAAAAAAGAUAUAAUUAUGGGAUAAUUUUGUCAUGUCAUUUGAGACCCAAUCAUGAGGCCAACAUCACUACCAAAUUCUCAAUUCUUGUAUCUUUCACUCGCAAUAUCAAAUGUGAUUAAGAUACUAAUUUUUCUUGGAUGGAAUCAAUUAGCACAUAAUCCUAAAAACAAAUGCAACGUGAUACAACUUUAUUUUAUUUUAUUUUAGGUUUUUGGCAACAGCUAAUAAUUUUUGUCACUUUCUCUCAAAAUCUAUCUUUCUAUCUGUCUUUUGUGAUGUCUUCUUGAGUGACAUAAGAGCAUUUCUACUCAUUUGCCAUGGUAAAGAAUCAGGGGAGGCAAUGGCUGUUAUUAUUCAUGUGAAUAGUGCCAGCCAUUGCAAAAAGCUUAUUUUAGUUUAAAUACUUAAAUGAUUAAUUUAGAUAAGAUUUCGGUUGCCACGUGUCAAUAUUUAUUAUAAAAUUCACAUCUCAUAUUUUGGAUAAAAUUUUCAGUUGACACGUAUCUAUAUUUAUUAUAAAAUUCACAUUUCAAAUUUCAAAUAAGAUUCUCGGUUGCCACGUGUCAAUAUUUAAAUAAAAGACAAGCUAUACAACUAAUUAAUGAAUGCCAACUCUUCUCAAUACAACCUAAUGGUUAUCAUCAUUUAAUCAAUUGGUGUUGCUAGGUCCAUCUAUGACAAAUGACUCGUAUCAAUUGGUCCAAUUCUUCUUGUCCUUGUCUUGUUUGUGUGUAUACUCUAUUUCUCUUGCAAAUGCUUCAUCUCUUGCCCUCUCAUUUGCAUAUCUUUUCAUGUCUCUCUCAAUUCUAAUUAUACCGUUAAGAGCAAUUUACUCUAAAAUUUUUGCAUAAUCAUUGGUGAAAUUACUCCAUCUCUUGACCUAGACCUCUGCUCCUUUUGACUUGCCCGGUUUCAUCGUACAUAAUUUCUAUGUAUACGAGGUCUCCCUGUUAACCCAAAGCGAUUGGAAAUGAUAAGGAGCAACAAUAAUAUUUCAAUAAUCAAAUGAUUUGAUUACUGCUAAAAUUUAUAUUCACAAAGAAUCAGCAUGCGACGUGUUGAUUAGUUGUCCAAAUGACGGAUGGCCAUAACCCAUAAGCCCUAAUUUAAAAUGAAUUUCUGUUUUAGAAAGUUGAUUAAGAAAACCCUGUAUUUUAUCUUCUCUUUUUGGGGGGCAGACAAUAUUUUAUAUUGGUUGGUUUAUGUUAGAUUCCUUGGCGUUUAUCAUUAAACUAAUGAAUUUUCUAUUAUUCAAAAACUCUCUUUUGUUUAUUUGAAUAACAUUAUUGAAAUAAAAAUUUAACUGAUCAAUUAGAAUUUUAUUUCUGAAUACAUAUGAUAGUUUAACCUACAAAGACUAUCAUUGUAUUAUAGAGGUUCGAACAUGAGAUAGACCUCGUUAAUUAAUAAAUACUUGUUUUAUAAGAAUUAAAAACUUACUUGAUGCAUCGGAUGGAGAAUCUUUUAUUAUGAUUUUCUCUCUAUUGGGUAUAUGACUCAGAGUGCCACAAGGAAAAAUGAGGUGUAAAAUACUAAAAUUAGUAAUCUUUUGACUUAAAUACCCUCAAUUAAAUAUGUUUUUGAAGAUGAUGCUUGUCAUUAUAGUGGAAAUAAAUAUAUAUCAAUGGAAGGUAAGACCAUGUUCAGCUUAUAUAAAAUGUAAUUAUCUUCCUUCUCUCAAAAAAAAAAAAGAAAAAAAAAGUAAUUAUCUUCCUACAAUGAAGGCAGAAAAAAAGAAGUAUAUUAACUAAUUAAUACGUUAAAAUGACAACAAUGCCCUUGGACAUAGGUUGGGUGGGUUUGUCGCUUGUAAGAUGGGAAUUUUGGUCACUGAAAGAAUGGUACUAAUCUCUGCCCUUCCAUUAUUUUUCUUCUUAUUUUAUCAUGUGAUAAUUAAGUUUAAUAUAAUCUAAUAUAAUCUAAUGCUCAAAUGCUCUGGCUACUAAUUAGUAUUGCACUCUAGUCUAUACAAUUUCUUUGAUCUGGAUUUUAAGUUUAAUUAAAGUGUAGUUUUCAUGUAAGUGAAGUGUUAGAUUUAAAUAUUAGUGAAGGGGCAAGAGAAAUACAAUUCGGAUAUUAUGUUGUCGGCCUUUACUUGUAAUUAGAUUAAAAUUUUCUAAAUUAUCACAAUUCAAGCAAUUUAAAUAAAAAUUCUAGUUUUGAGUCUUUAUACUAGAUUUAGUCAUUUUAAGGUUUCAUAUUCUCAAUCAGAAAGUCAUGAAAUAGAAACAUAUACUUAUCUAUAAGUGCUAAAUUGCAUCUUUGAAGAAACUAUAUAUAGAUAAUAAUUUUUAAUUGAGUUUUUGUGUGUUAUUACAAAACAUCAAUUAGCGAAUUUUGAAAAUAUUAUCGUUAUUUAAUUUGUUAGAUCAAGACAAGCAACUCUAAAAUUUUGUGUCUUGAAAAUUGAAGCUUGGUUCUAAUUCAAACAUUACAAGCCAAAUAUUUUAAAACAAUAACUCUUGGAGAUUUUGGAAGGCUAUGUGAUUGUUUUUAAUUGCGACCCUCAAUUAGAAAAUUAAACUAAAAUUGACACCGGUUUUAGUUUAUUUAACAAUGGAAGCCAUGGCAGAUGGCACUAAUGUAUUAAAUGCCAUGUGGAGGGGCAAGUGUUGGGAGCUGCCUUAUCUUUGCUCAAGUGCUUUAGCUUUUAAUGCCUUUUUUAAAAGGUGGUUGGAAAACCCAAAAACAUUUCUCCACUCUCUUUCCAAACGCGUAUUAAUCUCCUUGUGACAUUUUCUUUUUCUAUUGACCAACUUUAGGAAUACCGUCCAAUUAUGAAUUGGAAGUCUUGGAGAUGCAUCCGUACAUAAAUGGAACAUGAAUUACUUACCUAAGAAAAAGGAAGAUAUAUACAUUAUUUACCUAAGGGAAAGGAAGAUCUCUUUCUAACUCAUCACAAUUAGGUAGCGGCAGUUUCAAUUGGAUAUAUGCUGUCUAACAUGUUGAAUUUGGCCAACAAGAUCUAAUCCAGUUGAAAAAAAAUUUGGCUUGCGGACUAGUGUGGUCAUAUGUUCGAACUCUAAUGACACCUUAGCAAUGUGUGUGAAAAAAUUACCUCCCACUUUCUUAACUUUGGAAAAAAAAGAAGUUGAUGCUGAUUAUGAUCCAACCUCAGUCCUCCUCUUCGUCUUGGAGAGUUUUUCAUUAAUAUGAUUCUUGUUUGUUUAAAAUCGCAAUUAUAUUAUUGGAUCGACACAUUUUUCACUUUAAACUGACAAGCAGAUCAAAUCACAAUCAUUUAAUGCUGGAAAUGUGCCACAUGCCCAAAGAUGACGGAUGCUAGCAUUUUGCAAUGACUUAUUUCUACAAUUUUAACUCAAACCUAUAAUCCUCGAAGAAGUUGUGCAAUGACUUAUUUCGCCCAAAGACGACGGAACAAAAGUUGAUAUAGAUCCAAAUUUUCAUUGAGAAGUUGGGUUUAAUCAUCGGAUUUGGCGACUUUGAUAUAAAUCUUUUGACUCUUAUGCCACAUAGAAUUACAUUCAUUUUUUAAAUAUUUUAUGAUAUAAUAUUUUUAUUUUUAUUUUUUAAAAUUAUUUUUUGUUCCAAUGUUGCCCAUUAUGCCUUGAAUCAGGUAAUAGUAAUUUAGGUGAUAAUAAUUAGCCAUUUAUGAGUUUGUCAUUGAAUAGAAAAGGAAAAUAUCGCAAACAUAUCCCAGAGAGCAUUUAAAUAAAAACCUAUCUCCCCUCAUUGAAUCAGUUUCCUACCCCAAGAGUGUUCUCCCACUUCUUCUUCACUUCAGUAGACUAUAUGAAAAGACGAAAGACAAUUUGAAAAAAUAAGCCAACAAUAUACUUCCUGUUGUAAAUGUGGAGCCCAAAUGCCUAUAAAUAGGGCUUCUCCAUUUGUAACAAUACACACACAAGAGAAGGAGAACACACAUAAGAAGAGAAAAACUUCUCUCUCUCUCCAUCUAAAAUCUCUCUCAAUUUCCUCUCCAAAUUCUCUAGUUUAUAACACGUUAUCAGCACGAGGACUUCUCUAAAAUACCAGCUGAGAAAUUCUUCAAAGCUUCCAUCUUUUUCUUCCACCAAUGAAGACCUUCCUGAUGCCUAUAAAUAGGGCUUCUCCAUUUGUAACAAUACACACACAAGAGAAGGAGAACACACAUAAGAAGAGAAAAACUUCUCUCUCUCUCCAUCUAAAUUCUCUCUCAAUUUCCUCUCCAAAUUCUCUAGUUUAUAACACUUCCAUAGCAAGUAGGGAAUUAUGGCAGAAUAUUCCUCAAAUGAUACUAAUACUGGUGAUACUUGUUUGGCAACUUUUCUUGGGGACCAUUUUGAUGUUAAUUUUGAGGUUAGAUACGGAAAGUCUCUUGAAAUUCAUUUGUCCCUAUGGUAGAGGUAUAUUACAUACUCUUGUAGAUAUAUUAUCCUAUGGUGUAUGUAUAUUGUUCUAUUGCCUAUUGCAUAGGUAUAUGUGUUUUUCAUAUUUUUGACAAUGCAUAAUAGUAUUUUGUGUACAUUUAUUUAUUUAUAGAUAACAUAUAAUUUUUAUUUGUCUAUUUUUGUAUCUAACUUAUAGGUAGUCUUCUAAUUUAUGUUCCUAAUUUGUAGUCUUUUAAUUUAUGUUCCUGACUUAUAGGUAACACGAUUUAUCACUAAAUUUUUUCUAUUGCUAAUAAUAACCUGAAUAAUUGGUAUAAUAUGUGGAUCUUUAUUUUUCAUUGAUUAAAUUAUAUCCAUAUAUAGGAAAAUAUUAUCAAGGAAAGAAUUCAAAAUUUAAAUUCUAAAAUUCAAUUACAAGAAAAUAAUGUAUUAAAUUUAGAUUUUCAAUGUGUUUUUCUUAUUUACCUCGAAGGUAAAAUCGACAGCAAAAAAAGUAAUAAAGGUCAAAGGACCUACAUCAAAAACUAAAAAUAUGUGAAUUAAAUUCAAUAACAGCUAAUCAUUUUGGACCUAGAUCUAAAAAACCCUAACUAUUAAGCAACUGUUCCCAGCACGGUAACACUAGGAAUGGUAGGAAACAUGUUACCAGAAGGACGGCGAUGGGAUUCUCCAACGCAUGAGAAUUAUGAGGAAGAGAUGACCGUUGGAUGGUGGGGACAGCAGGCGUUACGUGAUCCAACGGUUCCUCGAUAGCCGGAGCAUUUGGACAUGCGAAGAAGUCCCGUCGUUGACUAAGAAUACGGUCUACCUUCCAAGCGCACCAGGAUCGCGUGGUUCAGAACCAGCUGAAGAUCCAAGGGCGGCUAGUCGUCUACCUGGCCAAGUAGUGAAUGCGUACGUAUUUAUGUAUUUUAUUUAUUUAUUUGGUUUUAUUUUUAAUUUAAUUUUUGUUUUUCUGGGUGUAAAUGAAUUUUCUUUUUGUAUGAAAAUGAAAAUUCAGAGUAUUUAUUUAUUUUUUGAGGAGCAGAAGACGACAAAAAGCGAACUGCGAAGGAAAGAGACGAAGUACCAAACGAGAAAAAUUUAUCCAAAGAAAAUGUUGGCAAUAAAUAAUCACAAGUUAAAUUAAAUGACACGUAGAACAAUAUUAGUUUAUAUGAGAGGGAGAGAGAGAGAGAUGGGAAGGUGGUGAAAGGAGGGAGGUGAGGUGGUGGGGUGAGGAGAUUGAAUUGUGACUUUGUGAGUGCGUUUAAUGCAAGGAAAUCUGUCGUUUAAGGAAAUGAAAGAUGGAGCCCUUGCACCAAAUAAGCCAAACCAAAUGAGAGUAAGUUUUUGAGAGAGAGAGAGAGAGAGAGAGAGAGAGAGAGAGAGUCUGCUUUGUGGGUUUAAGGAAGAAGAAGACAUGCACAAUUCAGAGCUUACAACAAAACCCAUUUCUUAAUUCCAAUCACUUUACCAUAUUAUCCCAAAGGUGUCCCUUCUCUCACUACUCACUCACUCUUUUUGCUUAAAUUUCAUGCCUUUUUUCUUGACCUGGGUUUGUUUUGUUUUUCUUUCUUUCCUUUUAGUUUGUCUGAACUUCACUGGUAAAUAUAUAUUUUUUCUUUAAAAAAAGUGAAUUCUGUUAUUCAAAUUUUUCUGCUUGGUAGCGAGCCUGUGGUUUGUUUGCAUGUGGAGCUUAAGAUGGUGAGGUUGGUUUUCUACUGUUUUUUUUGGUUUGAGAUGAUGGGUUUCUUAUUUUGGGUAUGACUUUUGUUUUGUUUUUGGUUUUGAUAAUUAUUUUGGGUAAGACUUCAGAGUCAUAUGUUUUCCUGAUUUGGGAGGAGUUAUUGUUGUUGGGCGCAAUUGUCAUUAUUUUGUCCUUGUUUGGGAUUUUAAUUCUUGGUAUUGCAUGUUUAAAAUGGUUUCCAAUUUGAGAAUGGGCUUUCUGAUAAAGUAUGGAGUUUUGUUGUGUGAGAGUUUUUCAACAUUUUCAGCCCUGCCUUUUCCUUCUUUUGUGUUUUUUUCAUUUCGUAAUUGAAGUAUAUGUUUAAAAAAAAAAAAAAACUAAAUUAAUAUUCAUUUGCUUUACACAUUCUGAUAUUUAACAAAAUUCAUAGUUGAUUACCUAAUUUGGUAUUUUUGUUGUGGAGCAUAAUAUAUGCUUGUCUUUUCCCCCUUGAUAUAGAAAACAGUAGCGCUGUGUAUAUCUAGUGAUUUGAUUGGAGCUGUCUUCCAUGCCUUUUAAGUACUUCAAUGUUUUGUUGAUAUUAGGAUUGAGGGAAAGAAGGGUGUUUGCAUGUGUUUUGGGUUUCUGCAUUUUAUCAAUAUCCAAAUUAGUACUAUAUAUGGUUUAGAAAUCAUCACUACACCCAGUGACCGAGAUUAUAGCUUGGUACUUGUAUCGAAUUCUAACAGAUGGAAGAGAUGGAGGUCUGCCUUGCUGAUAUGCAAUGCGGAGGAUAAGUUGAUCUGAAUCCUAUUUGGUCCCAGAUAUGUUUGAAUAUCUUUUUAUCAUCCCCUAGAUAGUUUUCCCUCCACCUAUGGUUCUUACUGGAGUUUUAUAUCCACCACUUAGGAUCCUGUGUAUGUGGCAUGCCGUAUAGUAUACUAGUAUAUCUGCUGCAUCAACUCUUGUUGGUGUGCCCUUUUGGGUACAGUGGAUGUGAUAUAUCUUCUGUUAUGCAUUAUGUUUACUAUCAGUACCGUAGUUCACUCAAGCAAUGUUAUAUUGUUCUUUCCUCUUAAAUUGAUUUAUUAAUUUCGGUAUUGCAAUUUGCAGUGCAUAUGAAAAGUUAAUUUACCAACGUUCUUUAUGACUUGAAUGUAGUAGCAUUGUCGCAGUUUGCAUUCCUGGUUGCUGAUGAGUGGACAAUUGAAGUAAAAGUUCAGGUUUUUCUCUUUUAACAUAUUUGAAGAUCUAUAAAUUUUCAACGCCACAAUUUGUAGACAACCUGAAUCAUUGUUUUAGACAAUGCAGAAUUUGUAUAAGCAAAACUCUGAUAUUGGUUCUGCACAUUCGACAUUUCCAUUCAUUGUUGGAUCAUCAUCAUGGGAGUAUUCUACUGAUACACAUGUCCAACAGUCUACCUCCAAAAGUUUAAUCUUCAGGAUGGGCGCACCUCUACAAAAUUGUCAUAACAGAAAGCAAUCUGGAAUUCACUUUCAAGAUCAAGAUUCGUCGUCAACUCAAUCAACUGGUCAAUCUCAUUCUGAAGUGGAUAGUAUGAAAGAAGGCAACCCAUGUGGGGAAGGCAUAGUUUCAGCACAAUCAGGUUCGUUAAUCUCUAUGUUUUCGUUCCCUUAUUUUUCCUUUUACCUCCCUUCAAACCUAUGCUUGUGGAAACUGGCUUCUCAUUGAUGCUUCUACGGAUUUUUUGUUCCUUAUAUGUAGAUAUGUUCUGUAUAUAUGGGGUUAUUAGUGCUUUUUUUGUUUGUUUGACAAGAAACAGAAUAAUUGUGAAAGAGAUAAUCGAUUCUACAUUUAUGUACCACUUGGAGUAAUGUUCAGCAACAAUGAUCUGGAGAUUAAUGCUCCUUAUUCCAUUUGCCAAAACUUGUAUCAAUGUGGUCUGAGUUGGCUUACCACUGUACUUAUCAGAGAACUUCCCCCAAUAAAGUAAUGGGAUCUUCACAUUGAUUUCCUUUGUUACGACGCAUGAACAAUAUCUAAUUUGGUUAGUCUUGGUCAUGCAGGAUAUAAUGAAAGACAAGGGAAGCCUGUUGGUGGUCACCUGAAAUCACUCUCGUCAAUGGCAAGUCAGGGCUUUGUCUUCCCGUCACAACUUGAUUUUAGCCACCCAAUGGUAAGUUGAGAUCUGCUUGUGUUUUGUCUUGCCGAAAGCUGGGAAUCUUAUACUUUUUCUGAUUACAUUCAGGGUCACAUUCCAUUCCACUAUGCUGAACCAUACUUUGGUAGCUUACUUGCUGCUGCUUGUGGGCCACAAGCUACGGUGAGUGCUUGAAAGUGAAUACUAAUAGAACCUCUUUUCUAAUUUGUGUUAGCUUGCUUUCAAUAGUAUGUUGGGAACCUAAAAAUUAUGCUUUUCAAUAUUUUCCACAUCAAAUUAUAUCAAUAGAGUUCAAAUUAUAUUAGAACUUGAAAAUUCUGAGUAGUAAAAUGAGGCUUUGUCAUUCCCUUCAAUGUGAUUGCGCAAAAUCUUGAACAAUAUAUGGUGCCUUUGGCAUUAAACUAUGUUUCUAUGUUGUUAAUAGAAGUAAUCAUGAAGGGCAUGCCUUCACCCAGAGAGCACAUAAUAGAUUCUUUCAAUUUGCAGGAUUUUCAAAACAUGAAAAUCAAUCUUGGAGGAAGUUUUAAAUGGCUGUUUUUUCCAAUUAUUCUGCAGAUGCUACAACAUUAGGUCCAGCUUUGAGGAUGCAUUAAUUAAAUUUUCUUCAUUAUGACAAUUGCAACCUCAAUACUGUCAAAAUGAGCAUAAAAGGAAAUUUUGGAAUCUUGUGUAGGACAGUGUUCAUGCAUGUUGCACUUCAAACUGUUCAUUCUCUUUUUACAGUGCCAAGGCUAUAUGCCUGUCUUCAUUAUCAACUCAUCAUAAGAAUUUUCAAGGUUUAGACCCUAAAUAUUUUUAGCCAUGUAGCACCUUCCUAGGCAUCUUUUCUUGCAAAUUGUUUAAAGUCAAUGUACAACAGAGAGUUUGAUAUUCUUAAAGUAGGUUUGCUAAUGUGUUUUCUUGCUAUCUUAUAAAUUUUGAUUCUAUUUUGCUUUGCAUCUCCUUUGCUCUUAUUCUUUUCUGUUCUCCUUUAUUAAUAAUUAUUUAUAGUAAUAAAGUUUCUUCUUGCGUAUUUAUUAACCCUAGACCAGUUCUUUAUGAAGUUCAACCAUCAAGGCAUAGAUGCAAAAUGAGUGAGGAAUCUUGAAGACCUAUUAUUGUUGGGAUCAAAAUACUAAAGUUUUAUAAGAUAUUAUAUUAUAUCUCUUCUGUGGUUCUACCUUGUGGAUUCUACAAUUUAGUGGUUUUGAUAUAGAUUCUGAUUCUUUUGCCCUUUAAUCGAACCAUGACCUGAAGAUUUAUAAAAAUAGACCACAUCUGGUGGUUUUUGCAUAAGAAUGUGCCUCUUCUGUUUCCAUUUUAUGAGAUAUUCAUCAUUUAAAUGUCUCCAGAUUCAUCAUCCCCAGGUGAUGGGGAUUACUCCUGCUAGGGUUCCCUUGCCUCUUGAUCUUACAGAAGAUGAACCCAUUUAUGUAAAUGCAAAACAGUAUCGUGCAAUCCUAAGGAGGAGACAAUAUCGUGCCAAGCUUGAAGCUCAGAACAAACUCGUCAAAAUUCGUAAGGUAUGUGAAGUGUUUUUUUAUUGAUUUGUAAAUGUCUCUGUGCAGGGCUUUAUGUUAAGGAGACUUGUACUGUUUUGACUGACAAAAGCAUUUUCUCUAAGAAAGGCCAUUCUGAAAUAUGUGCAGCCCUAUCUUCACGAAUCUCGGCAUGUUCAUGCAUUAAAGAGGGCUAGAGGAUCUGGUGGCCGCUUUCUCAACAUGAAGAAGGUCCAAGAUUCCAAGCCUAAUACAACAAACAGAGUGGAUGUUUCAGGCUCAGCUCAGCUACAUUUGACCAGAAAUAUGUCCGAAUCCGAAGUUCUUGAGCCUGACAACUAUAGAGAUGGUGCUUCCACUACUUCUUGCUCUGAAGUCACAAGCACUUCCAACAGUGAUAAUAUCUUUCCACGGCAAGAUUUCAGGUUCUCUGGCUACCCCUCUCACAUUGGUGGGACCAUGCAAGUUCCCUUUGUUGAUGUGCGUGGUGGUGGGAACCAGCACCAUAUUUCCCUCCUCCGGUGAACAAUCACCAUAGCAGUCAGUGUUCAGUGUUCUGUUGGAGAAUACGACUGCUAUGUUCCCUCGGGAAGUCAUCCUUGGCUCUGUUAAAGUUCCUUUCUAUUGUUCCUUCGGGAAGUCAUCCUUGGCUCUGUUGAAGUUUCCUUUCGAAUUCCCACGGGAAGUCAUCCUCGGCUCAGUUACGUUUCAAAUUCCCUCGGGAAGUCAUUCUCGGCUCAGUUACGUUUCGAAUUCCUUUUGGAAGUCAUCCUCCGCUCUGUUGAAGUUUCCUUUUUCUAGUUAACCUUUAUAUUUAGUUUUUGGGCAAACACAAGCAUUCCUGAUGAACUAUGGUUAACUGAUAGAUGGUGACAAGAACAUAAUUACUCUUGGGUGUGAUAAAUAAUCUGCGUAUUUGUGCAGACAAUUGACCAUGGAUUUAAAAGUUUUUGUAAGUGAUGAAAAAUUAUGUUUGUGCAGAAAACUAACCUUGGUUUUGAAAAUUCUAUUGAUUGCUCAAAGUAAAAGUGCUAGUUCCGGAUUUCCAAGCAAAUAAUGCCAAAAAAGAAAUUAAAAAUAAUAAUUGAUCUGAUUAAUUAUUUAAGGUUCCUUCAUGGCUUUAAAAUGAACCUUGAUGAUGCGCUCUACCAGAACACAGUUCAUACAUGCAACUACAUCCUGCCUGCAAGCCUGCAAGGCUGCAAGUUGCAAUAUCAUAUAACUGCUAGAUGGUCAAUCACAUUCUUUCCAUAUGAACUAUCAAUUGCCUUCAUUUAUUAAGCGAAUGACAAAUGUUAGUCCUUUUAGUAAAUUUAGGCUUUAGUCACAAAAAAACUUUCAUUUUUGGAAAAAGUCAAAGCUUUUUCAAAAAAGACAGAAAAACUUCUUAACUUUCAAAUCAAAGAUAUGCAAAUGUAAAUGAUUCCUUAGAAAAUCCAAAAAUAAAUAAGGGCAAUUUUGUCCAUUUUGGCUUCUUUUAAAAAAUUUCUCUCUCCUUUGGUCUUUUCCAAAGUCUCCAUAGUCUUUUUCUUUAAUUAAAUUAUUUCCACUCCCAUUUUCUCCUACUCUUAUUUUUAAAUUUUAAUAUUGUUAUUACAGAACUUUAACUUAUAGAAAGUUACUUUUAAAAAAAAAAUCUCUGUUUGCCAUGGAAAACCAUGUCACGGUGUUCAUGGAUUAACCCCAUAAACUAAUUGCCAGGUAGGGAUAGAUAAUGGGUACUCAUCAAUAAUAUUAUUUAUACUAUAUUUGUUGAACUUGUUCACCACCACUCUAAUAGAGGUGGGCCUUAUUAGCGUAUAUUUGAUAGAGAGAGGUGAUUAGCAAUAUGAUCGGUAAAUGGAGAAAUUAUAGAAUACUACGAUAGUAUAGCCACUCGGAUACUCAUUAGUAGUUGUUAAUGGAUCAGAUUUUGAUCCGAAUCCGAUUAAGGGAGAGUUUUAUUUUGUUAAGUGAUAAUUGGUCAUUAGCUGGUUCGGUAGUGUCUCAAUUUUGUUAGGAGAUUCAAAUUUCAGCAUGAGUUGUCGAAAAAAAAGAUAAAAGGUAAAUAUAGAACUAUAUAAGGAUCUAACCGCAAAUAUCAAGAGGGAACAAAAAUUAAAAUUAAAACAAACCCCAGGACCAAAAUUGUAAUUCCCCUUUUAACACCUUCGUAUACUCUCCCCCUCUCAUUUUAGUUUUUGACUUGGUUUUCUCUGACACAGAGAAAGAGAGAGAGAGAGAGAGCAAUGAAGGGAGCUGAUGCCGCACUCUACAAUCCUCGCACAGUCGAGGAGGUUUUCAGAGAUUUUAAGGGCCGCAGAGCUGGCAUGAUCAAGGCUCUCACUUCUGGUCUUUUUCUCUGUCUUUUUCUUUUUUGCUUUUUUUCUUCAUUUGUUACGAAUUUAGGUUUACUUUGGUUUUUGAGGAAGCCCAGAAAGGAAUUUGGUGUUUUUUCACUGAUUAAUGGGCUUAUAUUGAUUUGAUAUUUGGAAAUUGGUCUUGUGUUUUGGUCGUCGCUUUGUUUCUUUGUUGAAUUGGAUAUUUUUGUACUUACUGGUUUUAGCUUCUGGGUUUGGUUUCAGAGAAAAUCUAGAAAGAAAAAGGACAGGAAAUUAUGAAUAUUAGCGGUUAAUGUUGUUUUGGGUUCGGAAUAAUUUCCCAGUAGGAAAUGGUAGGGAAUUCACCCUUGUUUCCCUUCGGAAUAGGGUUCGGCUCAUUUCUCUUUUCUGUUUGGAUUCUGAGAAAGGAAAUGGUAGAAGACUGGUAAAUUGUGUGCUUAAAGUUCAUUUAUGAAUGGAAUUAUGCCCUUUGCUUUCAUAUUUAUUCUGCCCUUUUUGGUUUUUGAGCACGUUGAGGAUUGUAUAAAAAAUUCUUUUGAUUUUGGAAUUCUAAGUUGUUUUAUAGCUUUGGUGUUUGGUUUUCAGAUAAAUUACAUGAGAAGAGAAGCUAAAAUGAUACUUCAUGUAGGGUUGUUAUAUUCGUUUGUGAUUUGGAAGAAAAUUUCUGACGAGUUCGUUUUACGUUUUGUUUUCUCACAAAUUUAGUUUCACUACCAUGUAUUUAGCGUUGAAUUCCAUUAUUACGUUGAAAAUUCUUUCAUGUCUUUGUUUUGGGAGUAAAUAAAGGUAUACCGAAGAAAAUGUUUCUCAAUUAGAUGUUUUUCUUUGUUUUGGAAUGGGGAAAAGUGGUUUUAUUUGAUUAAUCUUUAGCUUCUGCAAGAAAGCCGAAAAGGGGGCCUGUCUAUAAUUGUUUUGUUGUUCAUGCAAUCUCUGUUUAGAGCAGAUUGAGGAGCAGAAGGGAAAUGAUUUUAUUUUUGUAGUGCUUUGGCCCCAAUUUUUGUAAACUGAGAAAAGUCAAUUACAGUGCUUUUUAGUUAGUGUGAAAAUGGAAGGUUUCUAAACUGGGGUAGAUAUUUGUUCCUUAAUUAUUUGGAGGAUAAUUUGCCAUUAGCUGUUUUAAAAAAGAAAAACUUAAUAUUGGGAAUUUUGAGUUUGAUUAUAUGUUGCUCGUUUUCUCAUGAAUCAAGGAAUGAAUGAAUAUGUCCACUUAUACUCUUUUUAUUUUUGAUUUAAAGAACCUCUAUUUUGAUGUGAAGAAAACUUAGGGAUACAAAAUAGAUAAAUUUAAAGACCUAGAUUUGAAUACUGUUGUACUAGAUUAACAUAUUGAGAUCAGUUGAAUGGAGAGCCAUGACAUAAGUAAAUUGUAUGUGUUUUAGUUUUUUGUUGUGCCACUUUAGUUUUAUUUUUGAGAUGAUUUUGAAAAGUUUGUUGGAGCUUUAGUUGUUGCUGAUGUUUUAGAUUUUUGUUGCAGAUGUUGAAAAGUUCUUUCAGAUGUGCGAUCCUGGUAAGUCCUGUAUGCUUUAUAAGUUUAUUUCAUAAAUGUGGCUUCCACUUUUAGAAUAGCUUGUGUGCUAUGUAUAAAUUAUUCCUUUGGGGCUGUAAAUGAGAGGUCUGUAACAAAUUUGGAACUUAACUAGGUUGUCAUUACAUUCUUUCAGGAAUCUAAUAUAUUGGUCAUCGACAAUGGCUGUUUGCACUCUUAUGUUAUGAGAAUGUUUAAGGUUCUAUAUAGGAGCCUCUGGUCAAAUAAGUUAAUGGAGAUGCUUGUGAUGUCACUUAUCGACAAAAGACAAAAAGAACAGAAAAAAAGAAGCUAAAAAUGACCAUAGCUUAGUAAGAAUUUCUUUGGUCAAUUAUUUGUUUUUGAAAAUUGUGAUUAAAUCAUGGUGUUAUUGAGUUCAUUCUAAAUGAUGAAAUAAUCUAUUCUGGGAAACGGCUAAGUAAUAUGAUUUUGAGAAUUAAGAAGAAAAGCUAAAUUGUCUUUUGUGCAUGCUGUGUGUCCCAGGUUUGUCUAAAUACAAUGUUGCAUGUAUGCUUGUGUUGUGUUAUGAAUUAUAUAAUUUUCUUUAGAGCUGUAGUCAAAGGAGAAUAAUCUAUUUUUUGUUUAGCAAUGUUGCCUCCUGGACAAGGUUGUUAUGAAGUCAAGAUGACAAUGAUGAUCAUUGUUGUUAUUAAGAUAUAAUGUUUGUGCAUUAUUGUUUUAAUGAAUUUAAUGAUUUCUCAGAGUCAAUGAUAAUUAUUUUCUUUGAAUGGUUGAACCUUCAUAUAAAUUCAAGGCCUCAUAAAAUCUUUUCAAAGCUUGAUCUGUGAUACUUUGAUGUUCAGAGCUGUUUGACAAUUAAAGCUGUAUCUAAUAGGGGUUUUCCCAGUCCUGGCAAAAAAAAAAAAAAAAAAAAAAAAAAAAAGGGUUUCCAGUCAGUUUUCAUUUUUUGGUGUUACUUCCUAUUUGUGGCUAUGUUUUUGCUGUCUGUUUCAAGCAGUCUUUAUGAGCUAUUUU